AAAAAAAAAAGGGAUUUUUUUAACAACGAGUAUUGGAUAUUUCAUGCACAGCAUUUUAUGAGCGUACUUUCUGAGAGCCAAGAAAGUCUUGCCCGUCCUUCAAUACAGUCGGUUAAUGCUGACAAUGUCAGAGUUGGGAGUUUAACAGCAGUUGGUCGUUUGGCCAAGAAACGUGGGAAGUAAGGUUCGUACCGUGACAGUGUGAAGUACGGCAGGAGAAUAUCAAACUGCCUGCUGCCGUGUAGAAAAAGGGCGCUGCCAGCAGAUGGCAGCAGAAUGGAAAAAUAAGCACAUAGGGAUGAGAUAGCGGACAAAAGAACUGAGAUUUCUAGCAGCUUAGUUUCACUAGCUGUUUUUGACUAUGCAAGGUAAGUUCAAGUUUAAUUGGAAAGGGGGAAUGUCCGAGGCAUGCUGACUUUUGAUGUGUAACCUUGGAGUGGAAAGGGCUCUAACCACUCACUUCUGAUUUCUGACAGAAGUUUUAAAACGAAACUUAUUUUAAAUAUAUUUACAGUGGUGUUUGCCUAUAAAACUUCUAACAUAUCACACUAGUCGUAUUCUGUGAAGAAUGAUUCUGAUGUUCUGCUGAACAAAUGCAUUGCAGCAGAAGAAACUGGCGAAGUAUUGGUUGUAACUGGGGCUGUCAACUUAUGCCCGGUUCAGAAAAGAAAGAAAGCCUCCAAGUUGUUUCUCUCUCACGUUUCUUACUUAGUGUUUCUCUCUCACUCUUCUUACUUAGAUUGCCCAGUGUGAGAAGCUGCAAAUAACUUAUACACUGUGAAUGUGUUUGGUGCUGCUUUUUCUUUGGUGCUGCGCGUGGGUGUGUGUGUGUAUUCCCAGAAGAGAAACAAGGAGGAGUGGAUGAGGUUUAAUUUUCAUCUUUAUCUUAAAAUCUGCUUCAGUACCGUCUGCACUUUAGAGAGAAUAUGCAGUACUGCCAUUCUUCUGCAAGCUUUAUAGUUUUCUAUGUUUUUUUUUUUUUUUUUUUUUAAUUGAAGAAAGUGCAGGAUUGAAACCAUGGGUAUGUGCCUUUUAAUGGUGUGUAUAUGCAGUUAUUCAUGCUACAUUUCUGAUUUACAGUAUUGCCAGGCACACCAGUUCAAAGUUACUUCUUAAACAAGGAUUUUUUAAGUAGACAAAUAUUAACCAUGGCCCACCAGAGAUGAGAAAGCUUCUCCAUCUAGGGACAAUGAGGCCUGGUCAGGAAAGUAGAUGACCUGGUUCUGAUCCUGCCAAUGUCUGCUGUGUGCCUGGCUUAGAAUGCAUUUCAUGGUCAGUGGAAAAAAAUGAGGAAGAGGAGGGUGUGGCUGCUGCUUAGAGAAGCUGGCUGUGCAUGCAGGGACUGGCUUUGGGGUUGUGAUCCUUCAACCUCACAGAAGGAAGACUUCUCCUAGGUAAAAGAGAUUUUUUAUUUUUAUUUUUUAAUAAUGAGAAAUCAAGUAGGCAUGUAAUCCUGUUAUUUUUAAAUCCUUACUCAUUAAUCUCAUAUUAAUGCAUAUUUUGAAAGGAUGGUCAGUUCUCACAGUUGUUGAGUUUGAUGGCAUCUUUAAUUGCGUCUUGCUUUGCCCCAGAUUUCUUGACUCACUAAUCAUGACAAAACCCACAAAAACUAGUUGCAACAUUUUUAGUCUAGUAAGGAUAGUGCUUUGAUGUUUUCUUUAUUGAGAAUAUCCACCACGGGACUGAUCUUGUAGACUCUAAAGUCUAUCUGUAACCAGUUCUUAAUUUCUGUGCAGAAUGCUUCACUGUUAGCCCCUGCAUCGACAUGGAUACACUUAGAUAUUUUCUUCUGCAGUUCCUUCUGUUACGAGUGAAACUACAUGAUCACAAAAGGUUGGAAUGAGACUUAGAAUAUUUUAAAGUAAAAAUUCUUGAGGAGUGAGAUCUUGACAGUGUUUCUAGUAAAAGUGUGCAUAUCUUGCUUACACUGACUAUAAGGUCUAUUUGUUGAUAAUACUUAUUUACAUUCUUAAUAGAUGUUAAACCUCUUUUCUUCUGCAGGGACAACGUAUUAUCACUGUGUUUAUUCCUCCCCUGUAGCAAAUGUUAUUUAAGUAUUUUGAAAAUGCGUGGCUUUUGUUGAUGCUGUGAGUGAAAGUGGAGCUGCAGAAACUUCUUCAGUAGUUUAACCACUCACAGGUGUGGUUACAGAAUCUGUUCCCUCAUCUCCUGUCUUACAUUUGAGCUCAUCAUCUCAUAAUUAUGUAUCCUUGUUCUCCUUUGAAGAGCAGCAGCGUGUGGGUUGUGGUGAGGUAUUAUCGCAUUUUGGGUGAAUUGUUAGCCACAAGACUGAAGGGUAAGUGUAGCAAACCACCACACAAGUGGCAAUAUCCCAGCAUCUGACACACAUCUUGGAAUCUCUCAGAAUUAUUAAAUGAGUUUUACAAAUAACGAUGUGUGGAUGGGGAAAAAAGAUAAUAAAAUAAGGAAACGCAUUUGUAUUGUGAAGCAGAAUCUUGUAAGUUUUUCCUAAUUAUUUAAGGUGAGAGGAAAAGCAGGUAGCAAAAAAUACGUGCUUCCAAGUAUUUUUGUGAAGUUUGAGAAAUGCAUUGGUAGCACUGCAUCAGGCACAGCAGCUAACUUGGAGGAUAAAUUAUUUCAUUCUUACCACACUGUAGUAGGGGUGGGAAGAGGUUUUGGGGAUCAUUGUUUUUGACCAUAGCAAACAUUUAAAUGUAGAAAUUACUGCACUGGAUUAGAUCUGCAGUCUAAUGCUAAGUCUACCCAGACCGUUCUUACAAAGGGUUGGUUGGUAAGAAAAUGCAGGGCAAAAACAACCAGCAUUUGAUCCUUCUGGAAUACCCUGUCCUUGUCAGAAAAUAGUCCAGCCAGAUACCUUGGCCAAUGGCUUUGUUACAGGUUUGUGCAAGGGUAUUUCCAGCAAACGAUCCUAUUUAAUGUUACAUUUCUGUAGGCUGUGCAUAGAACAGUAUUCUUUCAAAGUCUCACUGAUGUCCCUUAAUGAAGAACUGUGGCACUGAUUUUCACAUGCUUACCUACACUUAGUAAGGUAAUAUAUUUCCAUAGUUUUAAUGCUGCUCAUUUAAUUUUACUGCGUGCUCUCCUGUUGAACACUAUACGCAAAAAAGUACAGUUCUGACUUUCAAAGUGUGCAUCUCUGUCGUGUCCCCUGUUGCUCAUGUGCUUGUUAACAUCAUCACUUUGUCAUGUUACAUGGCAAUCGUCUCGAGAGCCAGAUCGUUUUGGUCACCUGCCCUUACACUCAUGUUCUGUGGUUUUAAUGAGGUAAGGUAAAAAGAACUGUAGACAGCCUUCUUCUUGAAGGUAUUUCCCUGUCAGGUACCCACUGGAAGCAUAGUUUCUGUGAUUUUUUGCAUGUGCUGUUAAAAUUGUCUUUUUUCUUGACAGUACUGUUGAAUUGUUGUGAUGGCACCCCGAUCUUUUUCCUUUGCUGAGAAUGUUGCUAUGCAACUUACUUAAUAAGUACCAAAAAGUAUUUAUCAUGUUGUUUCAUACUCGUUUAACUUUGUUAAAUUUCUUCAGUAAUCCAAAUACACUCCAAGUGUCAAUUUUGCCACUUUGUUUUACAAUUAAUUUUUCCCAGACUACUAAAUAAUGUUAAAAGCUGAUGCAAGUGUAACUUCUGCAUACAAUUACUGUUAAUCUUUUUCUUCUUAAGUGCCUUUUUUAUCCCUACAUUUUGCUUUGGGCUACUUAGCUCAUUUUUAAUCAUGAGCCUAAAUUUUGGUCACAAUUGCUCUGUUUUCUUUAUGAUCUUUGAGUCACUAUCAAAGCCCUUUUGAAUGGCCAAGUAAAUAAUAAUUUCACCUGCAGAUCCACUCCAAUAUAAAAAGAUGUAUUUUUCAUUACGUUAGCUGUAUUGUUUUUCUCCCCAUUCUGUAACCUCUUCUUAGACAUUCAAGUUAACAUAUUUUCAAGUAGCCUUCCAACCAUUUUAUUAAAUGCUAGAAUUCAUUGGCAUGUAAUGUGGACUAUUUCUGUGGCUAUUUAAGGAGUACCACUCUUUCAUUCCAGAUAGAAGAAUGCAUUUUCUUUUGGUUGGAAACGCUGAUUUUAACCUUGAGCAGCCUGUCUUGUCUUUUAGUUUCUCCAGUUAUUUCUGCACUUUCUGUUUUCUUAUCUGCUGCUCUCUUGCCCUUUACUUGCAGAAGAAGAGAUUAACGAGAUGUAAUCUGCCGGGUUCAGAAAAUACAAUUUAAUCACUUUGUUAGUACAAACCUUUUUCAAUGGUUUCCACCUGCUCUAGGCCUAAAAAGAAGUUGUUCUUUUUAAGAUAAAGGCUGCCUCUCAGUCUGUUUGGAUUUCUGGACAUUGAGAGGAGUGGUCAGUAUUGUUCCACCCAGAAAAAAAUUGAUCUGUGCAAGAACUUUGUGUCACAGAGUGACAUUUCCUCCAGCUGUUUUCCUGUUCCAAGAGAAGAAACGUCUUAUUCCAUAACUUCUUGUAGGGUGGUUUUACUUCCCAUUUUGGAUUUACAUAUUGCUGUUGGCUGGAGUGAAAGAAAAAGAACUGGAGAAUGAAGGACAUGCAGGCUGAAGGAGGUGUAUAGUCUUGCAUUUCUUCAGGAGGGUUAGUGGUUGUAGAGAUUUUUGUUUGUUUUUUUCUUAAUAUAGCUCUCAUCAGGAACCCAGCUAUCAAGAAAUGUUAACGUGGCCAUAUAUACGAAAAGUUGAGUUCACUCUUUUGCAUGACUAAAGACCUCAAGGUCAUAAUCAGCCAUUAUCUUUGUUGCAGUUUUUCUUCCUCUUUAUUCACUCCUUUUUUUCCCCCAAUACUAUUUCAAACCUACCAGACAACUGUUGUGCAGUCUUCUUGCUUUUACUGUAUGUCAAUAAAUUGUCUUUAUGUCUUUGAUUCCUUGGUUCAGUCCUUAUGCUUCUAAUCCCAGUUUUAAAUACUACUUUGUAAGUACAUUCUUAGUUCUAUUAAUUUCAGUUCAGUGCUUUUUGUUUUUGAAAAAAGGUACCUCUUUGCCUUGACAUAUGUAAAGUUUUUCUCAGUACCCAGUUUGCCCUUGUCCACGUACUUCUUCUGUGUUUAGAGAUUGUUUCCCUUUAUUUUGAACCGAUACUCUAUGCCUGCAUAAUCUUUCAUGCAUAAAAGCAGAGUGUUCCCAUUUAAGUCAAUGGGAAGAUCUGAUAAACAUGCAACGAGACAAUGUGUUACUGGAUUUCCCAGUAGGUUAUUUUAAAUACCUGUUGUAGAUUUUUUUUUUUUUUUCCCUAAGAGCUUGUUUUGCUAAGGACGUUGACUUUUUUAAACUUAGUUGUCUGUCAGUACUUUCCAACUCCAGUGUUCUUUCUUUGACCCUUGGUGCAUUAAAAAGCCCAAUAUUUUUCUUCUAGAUUUUGAGGAAUAGCAGUCACUGGAAACUGUGUGAUUAGUUUCAUACAUUCUAGACAAAGAAGUGGAGAGGUGAGAAAUGCAGGGAGUUGUCCUGAGUGCCAGUCAUUCACCUACCUGCAGUGGGCAUGUCACCCAUUUGAUGCCAACACGUAGUCUGGAAGUUUCUUUUAUUUUGUCAGCCCUCUGGGCUAAACCUCAUGCUUCCUGGCGGCAUGUGCAUGCUACAGAGGCAUCUUCCUUUCAGUUUUCCUGAUGAUAGUCUCUUUCCCUCUCUUCCUACUGGGGUAAGGAAAGACCAGAAACAGCAGGAACAAGGAACAGCGAGGGUGAGCGAAGGAAGCAAUUAUUUUUGCAAACAGAAAAUACAGUAAAGCAAAUAUAAUGUUAUUUAUUUUGGAUUCUUGAUUUCAUUUCUCUCUUCAGAUCCUUAUAAAACAUAUUGAAAUUCACGGGUUCCUGCUAUGAAGAAGCUUGCAAACAAGGAAAGUCACUUCUCAGGUGUCCUGAGGAGGAACCUUUCGCAUCCUGCAUGUUGCUUGAGGAUGCAUGGCAAGCAGAAGACAGAGGAAGGGGCAUGCUGUCUGGGUAUAAUGAGACCCCCAGAUUGCUUCAUCUGGAAUGAGACACUUCAAGUGUUAAUUCCUGUUGCUAGACACUAGAAAGCUACAUGUAUUAUUAUGGAUCCAAAAUAUGUUAAUUUGCACAAAUUAUCUAAGAACUGGAAGACACCCUUCCUCCUAUCUCAAAUAGUUAAUCUAGAUAACUCCUGUACCCUGCUGGUUUAGGACUUUGUUUUGGAGCCUGGCACUCCUGGGCCUCCUUAGAAAGUCUGCUGACAUGGGUAAUCUAGUGCUCGCUUUCAACUGCAUCUAGCCCAUGAGGAGUCUGUCUGUGGUACUAAGCUCCCUGCUCCAAAGACUUUGGUCAGCAUGGCACCCCUGCCUGGCCUUAAUCAUAUUCUCUUCUGGAGCCCCUAGCAAUGCUUAGCUUCUUCAGAAGUGCACCUGCCUGAUGGUAGAGGGGAAGAUAUUUUAGUGUAAGCCACUCAAUUCACAUGCUCUUUUCCUCCCAUCCUGGCUGAGUAACUGGUGUUAACACUUAGAUCCUGGUAAGCAGUAUCACCACAGAUAAGGAAGCCUACACAUGAAGCCUUGCUUCUGUUGAUAAAUCUCAUAUUAAUAAUAUUGUCCCAGGAUACUGUAAACGAGUUGCUAACAGAAAGCUUAACAGCAAAAGUAAGUGCUUAUUUAACCUGAUUAAGCCCAGAUAGUGGCAUGCAUCAUUUCUAAUAGGCAGCAUAUUUUUCCUUUAUUUUCCUCUGUUUCUUUUUUACCAGUGAAAAAUCCUGGAGCUGGCCAUUAUGUUCUCCAGCAUCAGGUAUUUUUCCUGCAUAUUUGUAUACUGUGAAAUAUUUUAAGAUUUACAUUUAUGAUAUCUACAAAAUAUUACAGUUUUUAAACUGUUUUAAGACCCAAACAAUAUUAUAAAUCAGCUUAGAACUUUCCCAGAAAUGUUGAAAACAAAGCAUUCUGAGGUGGUAGUUUUCACUUGAAAUGUUUUGAUAACUUCAAAACAGUUCAAUAACUGUGCAGCAAUUAGCCUGGUUUUGGGAGGAAGACUACAUGGAUUUUGUAUGUAUUUUUGCUCAGGAAAUAAUAUGCCAUUGAGCCUUGGCGGCUGAAGGUGUCUCUAUGUUUGAAGAAGUGGAAGAAAAAAAAAGAAAAAGUGGAAUGAUUUAGUGACUGAAGAGAGUUGCCACUUGCAUGAGCUCCAUCCCUGGGGAUAUGACCUUUUUAAUCCUCUUUAGUUAAUGUAUUGGUGAUCUUUACUUAGGCAGAGUAAACAGUGCUGUUGUGAACAAAGGGGAGGUCAUGCUUCCUGCAUUACACUCUGACCCCGGGGUCACGGCCUUUGUUCCCCGCUCAAUGGGAAUUGCUCUCCAAGGGCCACCACAAAAUGGAGAACUAAUUUCGGCGCGUGCUGGCGGAGAAUGGCAGCAUACCGGAGGAGUGAAGGCCUCAGCUCCCUGCUUGCUGGUGGCCGCCGCGCCCGGACCUCACUGAGGAGAGCGCGCAGCUUGGGCCUGCCACCACAGGGAACUAGAUCGUGCUGCGUGCUGUCUUUACUCGUUUUUCUUUUUUUUUUUCCUCUUUUUUUUUUUUUUUUUUUUUUAAUUCCCCCCCAGCUCUUACUAGACUUUUCCAAGGGAAGAAGCAAUAUGUGAGAGAAAAUGGCGGGAUUUUUCUCUUCUAAAAGAAAAACGCUGUGGCAAUCGCAGCAUUGAACUUGGGCCUCCAAGGUCAUAGCUGCGUCUCAGAGUAUUACAGUUGACAAGCGCUGAAAUUCAGCUUGUAAGGAAACGUGAUGCUGUGUCCCAUCAGAUUGUGUUCGUCACCUUUUUCACCGCAUUCUACCAGCACUGCAUGACAUAAAUAUACACAUACAGAAAAUGUGAAGCCAGAUAUGAUAAUUGAGGGGUACAAAGCCAGACUGAGCUGGGAAUUUCUCAUUUAUAAUUAAUUCUAUGUUAAAAAGAAACAAACUGGUUUGUUGGGUGGGGUUUUUGUUUGGCUUUAGAAAUAACUGGUGGCACAAUGUGAUGCAUCUCGUUUUUAUUUGUUGUGACCACUGAACAUUCAUAAACGUUAUAUCUGAGAUAAAUUAUUUGGAAAAUUCACAAUAGAAAACCAUCACAUUUCACUGAAAGAUGUUUAUUAUUUUUCAUUUCUACAUGCUUUUCUUUGCUCAGCACUAAAAUCUAUGAAAUGAUAGAUCAUAAAGCAAUUACUUGAACUGCAAACAUAUCUUCAGUCAAAAUACUUCUUUUCCACCACCCUUCCUUCUAUCCAAUGAAAAAAAAAAAAAGAAAAAAAGCUCAUAAUUGCUGAUGACAGGCAAGCAGUGUAAAACCCAGCAGGGUAAGCAGUGAGCACAGGUGGCCUGUAUGUGAACAGGGAAACUCACAACAGUGCCAUCACAGAAAUAAGUAAUACUAUGGUACUAAGCUUUGGGGCUCCAUAAGACUGUGAUCAUAAAUGGAUGUAAACACAGCAUCAAGGUAAAAAUGUGCAUUACAGUAGGUGUCAGCUCUUGGGCAUUUCAGGGCAUACUGAUUUUUAUUUUUCCCACUUUUUAUGCCACAAUAAAUCCCUGAAGGACUACCAUUUUGGUGUAACAGAUUUCAGAGUGGGUUUUCCUUAUGGCUUAGGGAACAGCACUGCUAAUACCGUUUGCUGCAGUGUCCACAUGCAUGUUUCUUACAGCUCCUUUUAGGCUGCUUCAGAUUACACGCUGAAAUAUGGUUUUACUCAAUACAGGGUACUGUAAUUGUCUUUUCUGUGAGACAGCAGUCUUUUCUGUUUCUGUCUCUCUUUCUCUUCAUUUUAAUUUGUUUACUUGGCAUUCCAGACAUUUCAAUUAAAAAGUUAACAUCUUUCUCUUAUUUUAUUUGCUGUUUAAACAAACAUUUCCAGUUGUCUACUUGUAGAUUUAAAAAUGUAUUCUGUAAUAUAGCAAAAUAAUUAUUUAUUAUUAAAAUAUUAAUAAAAUAACAUUUUAAAAAGUGGCCAAGCAACUCCAAUGUCAUUCCAUUUUAAUGAAAGCUUGCAUUUAAAGCUGAGCCAAGCAAGAAGGGCACAAAGUUAGUAUGUCAGUAGCAAGGGACACUGAAUACAGCAAUACUGAAAUAGACACUCCUGUUUCCUUUAUUCGUUACUUGAAAUUCGCCAAGACUACUUGCUUUACAUUUUAAUAGAAGACAGAGGGGAAAGCUAUGCUUACUAUAUCUACUAUCCAAUAAAGAUGAUAAUGUCAGGUUAGCAUGUGUAUAUUAUUCACUUAUGUUCAUUAGCUAAAACUAGUACAUAUAGUAAUGAAAAUACGAGGUCCAUCCACUUCACCAUGUGUUCUUCAGUACUGGUGUUGCUUUUUUGUUACCUGCAGGAUUAAAACACUAAACAAAGUGUCAAGGCAAUGUCUGUUGCAUUUAUUUUUCUUGUGGGGUUGAUUUUUGUGUUUUUGUUUUCAUUUGCUUUAAAGCAUUGAUGGGGUUGUGCUUGCUCUGGGGCUGAAGAGUUAUAGGACAGUUUUAAAAUGUGGAUAGCUGCUUAGAUGAAAAUGAAAAUGAAGGGAACAUUCCACUAAUUUUCAAAUUUUAAAAUACUUUUUCCUCAGAAAAAUACUGGAACCUUAUAAAAACGCACUAUGUGUCCAUAUGAAAGGAAAGCUAUUUUUUCUCUGUGUUAAAUACUUCAACAUACAAUAAGAUAAUAUGGUAGUAAAAGUGCUACUUCUAAAAGCUUCUUACUGAGUGGAGCCUUUAUGAGAUUUUCUGCUUUGGAUAUAUUUGAGUAUAGACUCUCAAGGUAUUUGUAGCAAAGACAUUACCCCCACCCAACUUACUGCUUAUUUAAUCAUCUUAUUUAAAACAACAACAACAAAACAGUUUGAAAAGAGCUUUGUCCCAGGCAAAGUUUGCAUGAAAAGAGUAAGCGGGGCAUAGUCUAUUUUACUGUGUCAACGUGAGUCCUCAGCAUUACUGCUUCUGUGAGUGAUUUUUCCAGUUAGUAUACGUGAUAAACCCAAACAUUGUUUUAGUCUUUUCAAGACCUUUCUUAUUUCCUAGACAAAGAUGCUACUGAAAUUAGGAAAUCAGAGAAGUGAACUCCUGCAUUACUUUUUCUUAACUUGCUUUAUCAGAAUUGUUUCCAAAUGUGACUCCUGAAGUGAAGACGAAGUAAGAACCAUUCACACUGAAAAGCAUUUCCCCCCAGUUAAGCAACCAUUACACACAUGCCUGUUCUGCCUUGAAUAUUAAGCUGUUUCUAUUACAAGCAGAUUUUUCUGAUCCUUUGGACAAUGGUUUGCUCUAUUUCUAAGGGGAGAAGAAAUAAAAAGUUAUAAAGCUAUCCUGUAGAGCAUGGUUUUGGUCAGGCUUCACAUGUAAUUCCUGAAUCUAUUCUUUUUUUUUUUUUUUAAUUAUUGAUUUAACUUUUUUCUAAAUACCAGACUGACAGAUGAAUGGUUUAGGGCCAUUGUAACUCGACAACAGCCAUUUGAAGUAAAUGCUUAUUUGCCCAUGUUGACUUCAGGUAAAGUCUCUUCUUCUGCCUCUUUCCUUUGAGUACUUAGAUUAAAAAAAACAAAACAAAACAAAACAACACACUGAAGUUUCAAAGUGCUGCAUGGCUACAGAUAGCUGUGUAUUGUACAGUUACAUAUAUGGGUUUCAAUACAAGAAAAUACAAGACAAACCUCAGUUGCACCUGUAAAAGUAAAAAUGGUACUUUUCUGUGGCACUGCAUUGUUACCUUUUUCUGCAGCAUGAGAAUAUCAUUCUUAUGCUUUCCGCAGGCGUUAUCCACUUUGGACACAGAAAUGUGUGACAGCCUCAAAAUGGCGUUCUCUGCUAGGGAAACGCAAAGACAAAAGCUAGAAUCACACAGUAGUUCCAGCACAAAAUGAUCUUUUCCAGUGGAUUACAUUUCUCAGCCUGAUUAAGGUUUUGGCCACUUGCUGGCCAGUAAAAGGUGAAUGCUCAUUCUGUAAAUCCGAUAUUCCUAUAAAAAUCUUCCUCUGUACGUAUGGCAUAGCCAUUUGCUAUCCGAGCAUGUGUGCAAGUACUGUAUUAAAGCAAAAUUGUGUUUUACGAAUCCCCACAAUGAAUCUCAAGUAUCUGUUUGCUUUCCCUUCUGUGCUGAAAACUCCUAGUGCUGCCAACUGAGUGCUGGAACAGAAUUUUGGUUUGUGUGUGCUGUGCUUUAUUAGAUGAAAUACCCGAUCUUUAUGGCCGUUUUCCUAAUUGUUGCAGGUCUAUUAAGGGAAUGAGGUCUUAAAUUCAGGUAGUUACAGAGCAGUUAGUUAGUUGUACUUGUUUUCUGAAUGUAGUGAUGAGUCGUUACAAUAAUGCUGAAGGGAUAAAAUUGCUGUUGAUGCAGUACCAAAUAUUUCGUAUAGUUAGAUACUUUAUAGCGUUCUCUAAAUGCCAUGUUUAUUUGUAUAACUAGAACAAAAAUGUCCUAAACAGUAUCUUCCAAGAUUUUCCUGUUAUUCAAAUGUAACCCUUUAUUAGUAAUCUUCAGGCUGAGUUAUUAACGUGAUUUAUAUUAUGCAAUUUUAUGUAAACCAAAUAUUAAUGUACAGUCUUGCUCUCACAGUAUUCACACUCACUGGACUGUACAUACACAUGCAUUUGAUAUGUAUGGUCCGCCAUGUUACACACAGCACACGUGUGUGCACACACACGCCGAGGAGCUGAAGUAUAUGUCAAUAAUAUAAUUGUUGGGGGAAGAGAAGAUUGUUUCUGUUUCUUAUUGCUGAAUGAUGGAAGGCUUUCCAAUUUGAGUGUCUGGCUUAAAAAGUUUUGAAAAGCAGAUGUAUUUCUAAUUGAGUCAGGCAGAGUCUCGCUGUCUUGUUGCCAGGAGACAAAAGGUGUCACGGUCUAUUUUUUUCCCCCCUUCAUGAUUUUCUUAUUAAGUUACUCGCUGCACUAGAAAAAACAUUAUACAGUUCUCUUGAAUUUUUUUUUAGUGAACCAAGAAAAACUCAUUGUGUGGCAUUUGCACGCAGUGUAAUGUUGAUAAUAUGCUCUGAGAGUCAACUUAAGAGUUGACCUUGUAAGAUUUCAUUGCUUUUAUCAUCCAUCUAAAAUCUCUAGUAAAAUGCCCUGACAAAACAUGGUUAAGUUUGGGAGUUGAAACUUCCAUGGAUUCAUCACCGAUAUCCCCUGGGAACUUUCAGUAUUCAGAAAAGGAAGGUGUUUUUAAACACCUUAAAAAGCAGUUCAGUAAGAAUAUCUGGAAGUGGUUUUUCAUUACUUUUACAUUUUUUUUUUGGAGAUGCUAGCGUUAUCAUUCACAUUGUACUUCUUGUGUAGGUAGCAUAGAAAAACCACAGGGAAUAUUUUGCUUUUAGGAAUGUUUUAGCUUUGCAGUGCUGCAAUAAGCUUUGUUAAAAUAAUGAGUAUUAAAUUGUGGCAGACAUUUAGCCAGUAUGGGUGCUGAUUAAUCUUUCAAAAAGUAAAAAAAGUGAGAAAUUAUACAGAAAGAUUUUUUGCUUUCAGUACCCAGAUGACACAUGCUUUUUAAAAAUACUUUGCAUUAUAUCCAAGGCCAACGUAAUAUAAUGUAAAGGUCCCUUCUUUCUGGACAAUCAUAAAUGGUUCGAUUCAGAGGUGCCUUUCUGAACCGAGGCCUUGCAGCUCCAACUGCCUGUGAGCUCCACAGCCAAAACUGCACUGCUGCAGCUGCUGUUGGUGGAGUUCGCUUGGGCUUCCCCAGUGCGUGCUUCAUCAUUCAGUGCAUUGUCCACAGGGUGUCUCUGAGAGAGGGAUAGCAGUCCAUUCACAUUUUCUAAAAUCCUUUAUGUGUAUUCAGUCAUUUUUGUCAAAUAUGAAAUGUGUGUGUGUGUGUAUAUACAUACAUAUAUAUAUAUAUACAUAUAAGCAGAAUGCUUAACUGUAUCUGUGUAUGGGAAUAAAAAUUUCUAGACAAAGGAAAUACAGAAUCAGAUGUAUGUGUGACAUUUUGUUUACUAAAGCUGAAAAACAGCAGAAUACCGUUAAAGCCGAAUAUGUAAAUUUAGACAUCCUUUCAAAAUGUAGGAAGCCUGGUAAUGAAUACAAGUGUGACAACUUUGGUAAGUAUAACAUGACGUGGGGGAGAAAUGAUUCCCAGGAAGACAGCUCACGGAAUACAAGUUUUAUAAAGUACUGAAUUGAACGUGGUGUUAUUUUUUCUCAACUGCAAUCUAUACUUGCAAUUAAUAUAAAGAAUAUAAAGCCUGUAUUAUCUGUACAGAUAAAUGCAUUAAUAGAGUUAUUUAUACCAUUGUUAUUCUUUUUUAUGAUAAUAAUUAUGAGUCAAUAUUGUUCACGUUAAGAGGGUUUUUUUUCAAGAAGAGGGAUUUAAAUGCCAAUACACUCUGUUACGCUCUGAGACUCAGCCAGCCAAGCUAGACAGAUGAAUCUAAGAUGCACAUGAUUUGUUAUAUAUUUUAUUUUUAAAAGGUUAAAGAGAAAUAUUUAAUUGAACUGUAAAACUGAAGUUGGCUAUGUAAAAUAGGUAAGACUAACAUUCAGCUCAUAGAUGGCUAUGAAUUCACUAUCUGCAACCAAUUUGGGUUAAAUCUCUUCAUGUAUACUAAAUAAUUGCAACUGUGCUACGAAUGUGUCAUCGCAAUGGACAACCCUUUCUAUUUUCUUCCAUUGUGUGUGAAUUUGUCACCUUACUAACAUUUCACUGCAAAAAAAAAAAAAAUAGACACAAAGCAAUUUCUGUGGUACGUUCUCCUUUUUCUUCCCACUACAAUUUACUUUGUAGCACUCCAUUGUAAAACAGAUAAAAAACAGAGCCUCCUCAUACAAAACUUGGGCACCCGACAACUCUUGCCUAGCUGAAAAGCCUAGGAGUAAUUUGCAAUAUGGAGGUAUUUUAAUGCCCUGUUUUGUGGACCGAAGAAAUGACAGGUUUUCAUGGCAGAUUUCAGUAUGUCUAUCUGCUUACUUUUUGCAGCUUACUAUUCUCUAAAAAUUAACAUUUUUAUAAUUUUUUUACAAGGUGAUAUUUACUUUCUUUUUUACAUAUACUUGUAUUUUAAUUCUCUCACUCCCCCCCCUUUCUCCCCUAGUAGCUAUUUCUUCAGGGCAUGCAAUUUUAAGCAGACCUGCCCAUUUGAAUAAACAGGGGUGUGUUUUAAAAUCCAAUAGCUUGUUGUAACUCUGCGUUCCUAGUGAAAUCAGAAGAAAAGUAGUGCUGGAGCAGAGCACUUGAACUUGGAGAACUGGAGUUGUCAGUCACUGCUGAAGGUACAGGAAUAGUGGAUGGUAAGUCCUUUUAACGUUUCUAAGGUUAAGCACUGCAUGUGAAAUACGGCAUCUCCUGGGAUAAGCGCCAUCUCUUUUUCCUGUGUGUAGCCAGAGGAAAAAGCUGGGUUUUUUUUUCCUGCUGGAAUUACCAACGUGGUGGCCAUUUGUGACCUGGGCUGGCUGCCUGCUGUCGCGAGGCAGUGCUCGGGCUGGGAGCCCCUGGGCAGCAGCAAGAGGAUCGGGACCGGGCUGGGAGGCACCCGCACCUAUGGGGCUGCGGGCAGCUGGGGGCAGCGGUGCUGGGGCACCGGGGGGGGCCGGUAUGAUGUGGGCUCCCAAAAUCAUAGGAGACAGCGAUCUGCAGCGUGGAGCUGCCUUGUCUGGGCUCAGCGUGAGGAACGGACUGCAGUCUGUCAGAGCAUCAAGUCGUAUGCCUGGGUAAAGUGGAUGUGGUUUAAAGUUUAGUUGCACUGUCAAUAAAACAAAAUCACACUGUUUUACAGCUGAGGAGAUUUCUCCUUAUCUGACGUGACUUCGCCGCUGCCUAGCUUCCAGCCUCACAAAUAUAUACUGCAGUUAAAUUAGCCUCCAGGAAGUUUACAGCACAUUUAUGAUAAAUAAGGAGAAGCCAGUAAACAAAAUCUUAUCUGGGGUUUUGAUUUGUUGUUUGAGAUGUAAAUUUUCAUCAGUAGGAAUGGUAUACAAGAAAAAUAUUCAUAUCACCAGUUUGGAGCAUACAGCUCUGUGUAGUAAAAAAAAAUCAAAUAGUUGCACGAUAAACAAAAUUGCGUUGGUAACACCCUUUAAAAAACUGCUCAUGUCAUGCACUGUUUGAUACUUCCUUCCUCUGGGAGAAAAAAUAUAUUAAAAAACAAAAAGCUUGUCCUACUGCCAGAGUUUCCUUUGUGUUGGUACCAGCUUCGUGCCAAGUUUGCUGUAAAACAUUAUCGUUAAUAUACAGUGCACCGAAGGAAACGUUUUUGCAAAAUGCUUCAUUAUGUUGGUAGGGAUGGAUGCUGCAAAUGCACCCUUGCUCAGCUGUGCCUUUACAUUUCUGAAUCACUUACAUCCAAAUUGUCUGUAUUUGGUAUUUCGAAUGUUUUUUCCCCUCUAGGUUAAUAUGCCACUGAUCCUCUGGAAUUAAUGUGAGUUAUUCAAUGAAGUACGCUUCUAUGAUGCGUACAUCAGCUAUAAUCCCACAGAGCACCUUUAAUCCCAUCAGGAAACAAUGGGCAAACUGCUUUGCUUCUAUUUUUAUUUUUUAAAAGAUGCUUUUUAAAAAAAAAAAAAUCUCUACAAAUAUUAAGUACAGAUAUUCCUGGUGACGCUUUGCAUGACAUACACUGGCAUUAUUUUAUAGAUAUAAUAAGUAAAAAUUCAAAAAUAUGAAUUUUCACUCUUAUGGAUGCCUUUAUCUUAAAAGUGUAAUAAAUUCGAUUGGAGUAUUUUUCUAAAAAACGUCUACCUGGCCAUAUUUUAUUACACAUUUCUGAAGGUUGUUAGAUUAGAAACCCUCCAAUAUUGAAAAUGAUCGAUAUUAUUUUAGAAAGAAAAAAUCACUGAUCUGUAUAGAAAUGUUUUGAUGUCUGUGCUGCAUAAACUGUAGAUGUGAUACCACUCCAAAUUCAAAUGAAAGAAAACAAAUUAGUGCAUUAGAGAAGUAUGCGUAAAUGAGGCAGAACUUGUGAUAAAGGGAGAGAAAAGUGUUAUAAAAUUGUGUAAUAGCACAAACAAACUUCAGUUCAAAACUAUGGCUGUUUUAGAAUGCACAUCAUUUCAAAUUAUUCAGGGAUAAUGAGUGUUAAAAGAAUUCCUCUGCUUCCUUUUUUGGACUUCCAUUUCUCUUAAGUGAAGCUUGCGAGUUAGGCUUCCCUUAAUUGCUUUCCUGAAUCCUUAUUUUGCAGAACAGCAGUAACCUUCAUUUAGACGACUUGCCAUCUUAUUUUACAGCUAUGGUGACAGAUAUGAUGUAUUUGUCUAUCUCCUUGAAGAAGGAUAAUAUACAGUGAGCGAGGCUGAGCUGCAGUUGUGUAAAUGAGAUGCACUUUUAACCCUCGAAGUGCAGCAGUUAUCCCAGUUACGAGACAGGCAGAAGCAGAGAUGAAACUCAGCUGUCUUUGCAUUUUUAUGAAUAAAAAGUGAGAAAGGGAUAGGCACAAAGAGUAACGGAAAAGGAGAACCGUAUUUUUAUAUUAAAAAUACAAUAAUAAAUAAGGUGCUGAAAAUGGUGUCUCCGAGAAAGGGCAAAAAGUCAUUGGGAGAUCCCAUUAAAUGCAAGAAAAACACUGCCAGCUAAGCUAUUCGUACAUGUGAGCCUAAGCCUUUCUUAAAACAGCGGUCUGUCUUUUAUAUUACACUGGCAUCAGAAGUUGUUGAAUGCACUAUCACUUAUAAUCUCUUAACGUUUCUCAUCUGUGCAUGUCUGCUAAAAAUAAACACUAUCACAGACGUCAUUAUUUCAAAAUAAAAAUGCAAAGUUUUUAGUGGGAUACUGCGGCUAUCUGUUGCUAAGGCUGUACUCCAGAAGUUACGCUUACUUUUACUUUCCGAGCACUCAAGAUUUAUGAACACACAUCGACAGCCCAUACACAGCAGACACAAAAGUUAUUAGAAGAAGAGUUCAGAAUUCCUAGGUAUGAUUUUACCAACAUAAAACUUUGUGGGAAAGCUGCUGCUCAAAUAUCUCGUCAGAUACAUCCUGAUAAUCUCUAGUAUGUUUUUACUGUAAUUCCCGAAAAAUAAAUAUUAAAAACGUUUUGUGGUUUCACACUAUUAAAAAAAAAAAUAGAAACUGGUAAGUGCAGACCAUAAAACAUGUAUCUGGCUUACAAAGGAACUGUUUAUUCUCCUCAGAAUGCCAGUGGUGAGCAUUUUCGUGAGAUUUGAGGCCGGAUAAAAAUGUGCAGCAGAGGUUCCCUAAAUAUGUCACUGCAGUGCAUUCACGAUGUGGCUCAGCCAGCCGUUCGGAGACCCACAUGCCACUCUGUGCUUUCUAGACUUAGCUAAUAUUGUGCAUUUUAAUAGAGCAGAUGUAAUCACAUCUACUGCGUUGUGUCUGGAGUGUCAUGUCUGAAAACAAUGAGAUGGGUUUUAAUAUACUUUAUAAUAUACAGGGGGAAAGCAUGUCCUGCUAAAUGCAGGAUACCCUGUUCUUUGUAAUUCUUGCUUGUAGCAAUUGUAUCAGGCAGAGUGCACGCAGCUCUUGGGAUGGCUGCGUUACAAGCCUACUGUAAGUAAGUCUGUCUGUCACUGUCAUUACCACAGCAGAUCACUUCAAUACUAUAUUUUUAGAAGUCAGUGAGUUUAUGUAAGAGGGAAAUGCAUCUUAAAAAAAACCUCUGUGGCUGUGAAGACCUCUUCUAUUUUUUGGAGGAACUCGCAUUUCAAAGCAGUAGGUUUGAGAGCAGCCACUAAGUGUGUGUGUGUGGGGGGGGGGGGGGGGGUGAGGAUCUGCGAGUUGCAAGGAAUAGGAACACACAUCUACUGUUUUUCCAUCUCGCUUUUUCUAUCACCUCACAAUCAAUACUUAGCGGAAUAAGACAUCAGUAUCUUUUCUUCCUCAGGAAUACUUUUUAAAGUGUUAGAAACAGCGUGGUAUUGACUUUUCCAGUGAGCUGAAACUGUCCGGCUGCGUUAAAAGUAUAUCAGGGGAGCAUCGAUAGCAUAAGCAAAAUAAAUAUUAAAUCAGGGGGACAACUACAACUUUCCUUAAGUAGCCAUGUAAUCCCUUUUUCCCUUUUUUCUGAUGGUAACGUGCUUUCCACAAAGAAGACUUCACGAGGUUGAAUCCUGCAGUCCUUUUUUUUCUUUUCUUUUUUUUUUUUUACGAAGGGCAAAGCAAAUGCUCCACAACGCUUUUUGUUAGGAAAGCACUUAAAAAAAUUUGAAUAUACCAAUAACAGAAAAAGUAUAUAUAUUUUUACUGCAACCAGGAGAUCUCAUUGGUUGAGUGAAAUGGCGAGAUGUGACGCAAAAGGACACUUGGACGGGUAGAAAUGCUGAUGUAUGCCAAAGCAGGCGUACCAAGAAAUGCUGUUGCUAUGAGAGAAACAGAGGGAGAGGGAGAUCGUGAGAGAGCAAGUUGUGGAGGCCUUCUUUUCUCCCUUUUGGCUCGCGUCACAGACUGCUACAUCUCAUUCCUAGCAGGGAGGGUUCAGCAGUCCUCGGUGGGCAUUUUCCUCGGACCCAGCAUCCAGAGGAAGGGAAGGGAGGGUUUAGCAGGUCACCUCGGAAUGCGAGAGCAAUGGGAAAGCAGGAGGGUGUAUGUGCUACACCAGCGAUCUGCGCUACGAUAGACACACAAAUUAGUACAGCAGAUGAAGCAGCUUAGCUCGUUAUCCACCUGUAUUAAGGCUCGCAACUUACAAGUUACAGAAUUAAAAUGCACGGACGCACAGAGACACAGACAGAUGUAUAGUUACAAUGCCCCCACCUUUCGGCUCAUGAAUUAUCCAGCUGGGAUAGCGCUGCCUCUUGUGUGACAUUCUUACAGAGCUGCAAUGAAUUCACCUUGUGAGUCCAUCAGCCGGAGAAGGAGGAGAAUCAUUUGCAGGACAUUUAUUUUUUUUUGCCUUUCUUCUUCGGCAAGGGGGGAAAAAAAGUUUGCGCUAUGAACUUAGCCUAGCAGCUUCUGGAACCGGAGCCAAAAGGGGCAGGAAGUUGUUUUACAAUAGCGUUACAGUGAUCUGCCACAAAUGGAAAAAGCCAAAUGUUGGACUCCGCAAAGAGAAAAAAUAUUCUUCUCUCCCUCGCCUCCAUUCUCCUGCCCCUUCAGAGGGAAAAAAAAAAAAAAAAAGUAGGAAAAGGAAGGUUUGCUAGAAGCCCUUUUCAUUUUUAAUUACUUUUGGUAAGUAAUGGAAAGAUUAUCUUACUUGCAUAUUCCAUGGCAAGCACAAGGGGAAGAAGUAUCAAAGGGACGUUUGAAAAAAACGCACUCAGUAACUAGCAACGGGACUUUUGGCACAAUUCCUCGAGUUUGCUUGAGGUUAUGGAGGGGGAUGGGAAGGAGAGGAGCGAGUCUACGCAGUACAUUUUCCUUAAAAAGGGGAGGAGGAACGGAGGCAAAACUGCAUAAAACUUUUUUUUUUUUCUUUCCCUUAAGGAAACGUGCAUUGCUCUUCUGAAGCUGAAUCCUCAGGCAUUCGUGGCCCGUCUCUGCAGCCCGAUGUGUUUUUUGUGCGUGUGUGUAAGCGCUCUCAAUCAAACAGAAAUCAUGGCAGCUGUUUUUCUUCCAGCACAGCAGUUGAGCUGUCUCGCCCAAAUGCUUAUCAGCUUUUGACUCCGUGCCAAGAUAGUUAUAAGGGCCAAGCAGCCUGCGCUUGGCUGUGCAGCUGGUGGAGGAGCGAGGGCAUGAGAAAACAGAAUCACCCAGCUUUUUUUGUCACACACACCAUCUACUUUUUUUUUUUUUCUUUUCCAAUCCCCGUUUUCAGCCCCGUGGGUCCUUCCGAGCAGCUUUUUCGCGGUCCCCGCAGCGCUUUCCUACAGGGCCGCAUCGAGAUAGGAGUCCAGCGCUCCUCGUUCUAAUCCCGGAAGAUAUUUCCAGAGGACCUUCCUUUCCUUUCCCUCCCACUCCCCCCCCUCCCGCCCCCAAUUAAAAGCUCCAUCAGCCGGCCCCGCUGCCUCUCCUCACGGCUGCUCUGUCCUCCGCGGCCCGCACGGUCCCGGGCCCUCGCUGCGGUGCGCUGUGCGCGGCCGUUCGGCAGUGCCGUGCCGCGCCGCCCUCCCAUCGCCAGCCCAGGCCCUGCGCCGCGCCAACGCGGCCUCCUCCGCCUCUCGGCUCCAGUCGCUGCGAGGGGGAGGCCGGACUCUGGAACGAGGCUGCUGCCGCCGCUUGCAUUCCUGCUGCAAGGGCCUCCCCUUCAGACGGCCUUUGCCAGAGCAGAACUUUUAAAAACGCUGUACAUAGGCGCUGCUGCUUUUUCUCCUCUUCGUCUCUCUCUCUCUCUCUCUUUCUCUCUUUACUUAACCCUCCUUUCACUGCUGAAGAACGGAUUAAUUUUCCGUCUCUUCUGCGCUUGGCUCGGCCGUACUGUAUAUCGUUGCAUUGAGGUUAAAACUCCCGAGUAUUUUCCCCUCCGCUGAUCCUUUUCUCUCCCUCUCUCUCCUCUCUCUCUUUUUUUCCUCGGUUAAGGGGAAUUGAUUUCUUUGGCCGAGCUAGUUUGUAUGCUGUGAGAACGAGGGCUUUUAUUUGUCACGUCCCCCCCCCCGCCCCCUCUCCCAGUACCGGCACACCGCGCAGCUCACGGAACGGCCGCUCGCCCUGCCUGCCUCUCUACUACAGCUCCGUUCCCGUGGCUGUAGGUGUCCGUGCCGCACGGAGCGGGGCUCCGGUUCCCCCCCCCCGCCUCCCCGAGCACUCUGCGAUGGCCGACACGGGGGUGUGCGGCGAGCGGGGGCCGUCUGCUCCCCGCGGCGGAGGGGAGAGGGAUGUGUAGCAAAACGCUGCCUCUGGGACAGGUGCCAGCUCCCAGACAAAAGGAGUGGAAUAGGCUGUAAAGAGGGAGGGCGGGGGGGGGGGGGGGGGGGGGGAAUUAAUAGCCGGCAAAAAAUAGGAGCCGCGAGCCUCGGGAGGAGCCCUGGCGGGAGCGCGCUGCCUUGCCGGCCUCUUCGCCGGGUAUUCCCGAGCUGCAGGGCGGAAGGAGAAAGUUGUGGCAUACUUUUUAUUCCUGUCUUCUCUUCAGACGUUGGAAAGCGUGAAGGGAGGGUGGAGGGCGCCUUUUUUUUUUUUCUUCUUCUUCACCCUCCUCUUACUGAAUUAUUCAUAGUGUCAGCGGUGAAGCCAGGACUAUUAGCAUGCAUCAGACAUGCUGUUUGUCUGUUUGCUAACAUUCUUCAUUCAAGACUUGUUAACUACCAGACAAGCUUAACAUGCUUCUCUCUUUCUCCUCCCCUUCUCUCUCCCUCUCUCUCCCUCCCCUCUCCCUUCCCUUCCCCUCCAUGCCACCCCUCGCAGCCUCCCAUUGUUGUCGCUGGGAGCUGGCAGCAGCUGUGGCAGGGGGAGCGUGCGGAGGAGCCGCCAGCCGCCCGCUAGUGUCUCAGCCUGGAUGUAGCCCAGAUUUGUGAAAUGCACAGCAGUAGAAUUUGAGUUUUCAAGUGAAAUAACUCUUCCUUGUCUGAACCGUCCUUCAAAAUGCGGGAUUAGAAGUUUCCUACCACAUCAUCUUCAGGACUCCCAGAAAAUUCUUCUGCAGCUUGUGGCUGCCCGGAAAAGGAUGUUGUAGUAGUCUGGCAAAAUGAACUCAAGAUGCACAAGAAGAACAUACUAGAGACUGAUCUGCAAGGUGUUCAGGUUCACUGAUAAGAUGCAAACCAGAAUCUGCCUGUUGGUUAUCUAUCCAGACAUGUUUCAGAGCUAAUAAGGGAGACUGACGAGUACCAUGACUUCAAACAGAAGCAUUUUGAGAAAUGACCUAGGGGGAGCCAAGUUACAAGAUGAACUCUAACCAAGUUAGAAGAGGAAAUAAGUGAAGAUUGGUCAUGUAUGCAAAGAAAAUGACAAGGUAUCUAAGGCAAUCACAAUUCAGAUUAAUUUCUUGCUGGUGUAGAGGUCUUCAUGGUACAUUAAUUCUGGCAAUAAACUUUAAAAAUAGUCCUUGGAAAAGAUGUUUUGAAAAGAACUUUUUUCUACUGUUUCAUUGCCAGAGUAAGUAUAUGUCUUUAUAAGUGUCUUGAAGAUACAUCUUUGAAGUCAUCAUUGUGUUGAAUUGUAGCUGUAUUUCUAGAAGUAAAUGAUGAUCACAUUCGUGAGCUGUGUUUUUGGCAGAAGUGAGUAAAAAAACACUGCUUCUCCCAACAUCAAAAUAAAAUCUUGCUAGACACUGUCAAUUUCCGAGGCUUUAAAGUAAUCAUUUCAUGAAUUCAUUUAAAUCACUGCACUUGAACGCUCAGUGCACAAGUUAAACCAUUUUCUCUUUUCUUUGUCAUGUAUAACCAUUACAAAUAAAUGUGCUAGUACUUGUUUUGCUCUGUAUUUAAAGGAUGUGUUCUCUUAAGUUUGUUGUUCUGCAGAUUUGUAACUUGAGGAAUGUAAAAUCAGUACUACUGACAACUCAUAUCCCUCAAAUACUCUCAAUAACGUGCAUUUGUAAUAUUUACACAGUGGCUGCUAAGAGGCUGACACAAGGCUAUAUACCACUUAAGAUCUGAGGUUAAAUGGUUCUUCAGUGAUGCAUAAAAUUUGUAUUGAUCAUCUGCCCGGCACUGAAUUGAACCUAUUAAUGGAUAAGCCUUACAGUAUCACUAUGAGAAAGGGAAUUAUGAUCUCAAUUUAAAAAGUGGUAAAACAGAGCCCCAAGGGCUCAAGUAAUCAUUUCAAGUCGUACAGGAAGUAUAUAGCAGAGCUCUCAAUCUAAGCCAGCUCACCUGACCAACCAUCCUUGUGUUUGUUGUCCUUUUCAUCAUAUUCUGUCAGGUGUGGAAUGUGUAUGUCAACAGCUAUGCAUUCCUUAUGCACUGCUUUAACAGUCAAGUUCUCUUGCAAAGUAACUUAAAACACACAGGGAAUGUGAAUUGUGAAUCUCUCUUGUCCAUAAAGAACACGACACAUGAUGCAAAAGGGCCAGCAUAAACAACAUAAGUUGGAUUUUAAUAAGUUAAAAACAAAAUGUACAGGAAGACCUGUUGUUGUUAUGACCUCUCUAUUUUUUCUCUUUUUAAUUCUUUUCCCUUUUCUUUGCAUGGUGUUCUAGAUCUUUCUGUAGUACAGAGAGGAACUGCUUGUAUAGAACAAUUAAUGCUUUUGCUUUUGUAAUCUUGCUGAAUGUCUAUUUGAUUUCUUUAGCAAAUGUCAGGUCACAUGUUGGCUGAUUGCAUUCUGAAACUGAAGUAUAAAUCAUCUUCUCAAGUGACUAACUGUCAUUUUUCUUUGCAAAAUAUUUUUCUAUCUCUACCUUAUGUAACUCUUACAGUUGCUGACAUUUUCCUAAAAGCCCUGUUCAUUUGACACUCAAGAUUUCAGUAUAAAACUAUAGAUGAGAAUAGAUAACUCUUUUGCCUUCGCUUAGUACCUGUUUCCUUUACCAUUAGUUGAAGAAAGGAGUAUUAUGCAUUUCUGAGUCAUACUGUAUAAAGGUACUUUAUUUUAUACAUCAUUAGAAUUUUAAAAGAAGAAGGAAAAGCUGUACCAUAGGUGAAAGCAAGAGUUAACAUGCUUGAACUGUAGAAAAUGGCUAUUAAAUUUUGAUGGAUGCUAUCACUGAUAGAUCAAAUAAAUGUUGAUGUAGUGAUGUAGAGGGUAUGGAUAAAAAGAUGAGUGCUACAGAAAUGGUUGUUAGUAUUAAUGGAAAACAUAUAUAAAAAUAUAUAAUCCUCAGCCAAAGACAUGGAUCUACCCAGAAGAAAAGAACAGAGUAUGGACUUCUUAUAUGCCUUGAGUUCUGUCUAUAAGAGUGCAGCCCCUAUAUAGCUGUGUCUUGUCACAGAUUAAGAUUGCAUAUACUUGGCCAUGCCUUAUGUUUUAUUGUGCCCGAUUCCUGCUGGCUUAGAGAUGAUAUUCUAGUAUUAAUAAUCUGCUUUACGUAUUUAUAUGUUGGUAGAAAGCUGUUAAUGAGUAUUCCUAACAGAUCUUUUUAAUCAAACAUAAAAUGUAAGAAUUUCCUAGGAAAAAAUGGCUGCAUAACAUGGAAACAGUUGGUAUUAAAUUCCUGUUGGUGUGGCCUUUGACUCGCAGCUUCUGCUGAGUCCAGCUGAGAGAUAAAUGAGAUAAUUUUGCUGGUGUUUCAGGUCAGCACUUACGCCAAUCUCACCAUCAUGGACAGUGAAUUCAAAUGUUUCUGAACAGCUCUGGAAAAACACAUUCAAGAAAAGCUGUGUUCCAUCUGACAGAAUGCUACUUUUAAGCACUUAGGGUGAUCUGGAAUGCCAGGACUUUGGUCCUGAGAAUUGGUCCGCUAUUCCUAAAGCAUCCAAGCUCAAAUCUUUUAGUUAAAAGUCUCUAGAUUGUUUAAAAUUUAUGGGUAGAUGCAGGGAAUUUUAAGACUCCUGAAGGAGUCUGUAGGGGUAGGUUUAAAAUGUCCAUAUAAAUACAGUCUUAAUCUCUAAAAAAACAAUCUGAAUUGAUUGAGUACUGAUGUAAAUGUAAUGUAAAAGAGGAUUGCUGUGCUUAGAAAGGGAAGUCAGAUCUUUAUCUAAAUAUCUCUGCUUUAUAAUAAGAUACAGUAUGAUAACAUGCACAGUGAACAGUUGAAAUCAGCACAGACACAUCUGAGAAGGGACACUUUAGUCACGUAAAGAAAGGUGUGAAAAGUACCUUCUUCGAAAGCCAGACUCCCUGCAGUUUAGAGCAGCCUAUUUUAUUGACGUGUGUGACAUCUCCUGAUUGUGUUUUGGGGGUUUGUAGAAUUACUGUACCCUUCUUAGCAAAGGCAGAUGUAGGAUUGGGUCUCCGAGAAACAGAUUCCAUCUAUCCAUUUACAUACCAGUCUGACCUUACCACUGAAGAUUCUUAAAGCUGGUUCAUGGACAUCAUAAAUUUGUACUCCUCAGUUCAUAAAGGUAGGGACAUAAUAUUUUACAGGUGUGGAAGUGAAACAUAGAUGUGAAUAUUUUAAGACAUAUAGCCUUGACAAUGAUACUUAAAAUCAUUCAUCAUGGAUCAGCUCAGGGAAAUAAGCAGGAUUGUAGUUUGUUUGCCUUUGAAAGUCUGACUAGUUACUAUAGCACCUGAAGAAACCAAGUGAACUGAACUUAUUUUUCUGAGAAUACUUGUACAAGAGGACAAAGAAAAUCUUGAAAAUCUGUUGUACGCUCGUGAAAUGAAUCCAACUCUCUGAAAUUUCUGAAUAUCUGAAGAACUUUUCUGUGUUCCACCUUACUCUUCUCUGAUUUGAAAACAUCUUUUUUGAGUUCUUGGAAAACUGUGCAUUUCUACUGUGUGCUGUUCUCAUUAAAUCUAUCUUUCUCUUGCUACAAGCUCUGAUGGAGGGGGACUUCCAACAGUACUCUCUCAUAGGUCCCCCACUGUAUAUUAGACAACACUGGGUCAUGAACACUAAAGUCUCCAAAGGCCUACUGGAUGAUCCCCUUUUAAGAUCUCUGGUGGUACAAGUUGUCCCAGAUUAGAAGCUAUUUGCAGGCUUCGGGAAUGUGUAAGAGUAAGUCUCCCCAGUUACAUAUCUCAGGAGAUCUGCAAAGAAAAAGAGGAUGAUUAAAGUUUAUGGCUUGCAAAAGAAGGAAAUCAAGGGGAUUAUUUCUCGGUGUUCUUUUUAUGAGAUUUUUUUUUUUAAAGGAAAAAUAUUUUGACUGACAGGCCUUUGAACAUGCUGUGAGUUCUGUAUUUGCAGUAAGGCCUGGAGGAACAAGCUUUUAUUUUCUACUAGAAGACUGCAGUCUUUAGCACUCUCAGUAUUAAGAUCAUUGCAGGCAGGCAUCCCUACUGAUAUUACUAAAAGGAACUUUAAUCAAUCUUGAAAAAAGACUUCAAUAACCUGAAUUAUGGCCACUAGUGCUAGACCUUUGAUAGGAGAAUGGGUCUAGCAGUAUUGAUUUUCUCACUCUUAGCAUUUCUUCUGAUAUUUUUGCCACCUACUAGUAAUGUGUAUUUUAAUAAAACUUUAUGAACUGCCUUUUCCCAGCAAUCUUUCUGUUUUUAAGUGGAAAAUUUUUUACAUCAUUUGCAUGCUUUUUUUUCAUUUUGAAACAAAUACAAUUUUUGUGGAAGAUUGCGGAUUCCAAAACCAAUCUAAAAAUAGCAACUUCCCUCUCUAAUUAUGACACAGCCCUUUGUCAGUACUACCAGAUGGGGAAGAUGAGCCAGAAAAUAGUAUGAAUAGUCACCAGUUGUCUUCUUUCAUUUCUCUUUUUCUGUGAGAAAGCAAGAUCUUUUGCAUUUUCUUGACAUUUUAAGUGCUAGACUUUAUGUUUAGAAAAACUUAGAGCUGGUUUUGACAAAACAGCCUCGAGAGGUUUAGAGAAUUCAGAGCCUUCCAGGGACAUCAGCAGAAUUGAGAGAACUGAUAGAAAGGACCUAUGGGCUAGGAAAUCUGAUGGGGUGCACACAAGAGUGGUUUACUAUUUACAUGUAAAGAAAAAUAGGGAAAAAAAAAAAGCUGAAACUACUAAUCUUGAUAAUAUUUUUCUAGAUUACAGCAAAGCUCAUAGGUGUCAUCUUGCAUAUGGCCUGUGGCCUUUUGACCUUCUGAAAGAUGGCCUUGUGGUUUCAUAGGUUAGCUCUCCAUGAUUAAGUUGUUACUGAGGAGACCGCUAACACUUCUCCACAGCACUGUUGCUGUACCUUUAUAAAGACUGCUAAAUGAUGUGGUACGUACCACAGAGACCACUGUCCAGAGGAAAGUGCUGUCAGAGAGUGAGAGAGGGUUAACCACAAAAUAUUUACAAUUUUAGCGUGCACUGAAAAAAAAUAUAUAGCUGAAAACAGUAUUUUCCUUUUGCUCUCUUUGUGCAUUGUGGUUUUAGAUUGGCUGCAAAAAUGUUUCUGUAUAGUGUGGAUUGUCUACAGCAGAUGGCAAACAAUGAUUAACCAUUUCCUUCCAACUGCUCUUUAAUGGGCAGAAACCAAGGUGAACUAGUUACUCAUAUUAAAUUAAGCUGAAAAAAAUCAUGUAGUUAUGAGUGUAAAUGUUCUCAUCUAAUAUAAACUUUCCAAGAAUAGUGCAGUUGGGGCUGGAUGUCUUCUUUCAAGCUUAUUUCCAGUGGCAGAGGAUGUAAAGAACUAAAUGAUAGUAAAGUAUAAUUAUAGUUUUUAAUUUACUUUUAAAUUAUUCCAUUUUUAAGUGAAAUACUGAUUUACACAAGUGCUGGACCUCUGAACUACUUGGAUUUGCUACUGUAUCUUAACCAAAAGUAAGUUUCUUGUAUGCUGCUGAUGAGACUUAAUAUGUUUUCAUAAAAUAAAGCUUCUGUAAGAUUAGAGUGGAAGUACUGCUCUAGCAUUAAGAGCUAGGGUAAUAGGAUGCACAUCUGCUAUAUAUUCACAUUUCUAAGCUGUUCUACUUUUCGUACAUUAAGGCCAAAGGAGGCCUAGGAUAGAUGCUUGCUUUCUUUUAAUUUGAAAGCACAAAAAAAACCCCAAUACCUUCUUAAUAUUGUUAAUUUAAGAAGUAGUGUCAUCAGUGAGAUGAUAGUGAUACAGGCUGGGAGCCAGCUGUGUAGGAAUCAGUUCAGUAGAAACAGUGCUGGUAGUCCUGAUACUCAAGGUGAAUAUCAGGUAGCCAUAUGCCCUUCCAGCAGAACCAGCUUGCAUUCAGUGUUGCAUUGGCAAGACUAAAGGCAGCAGCUCUAGAGAAGGGGCCCUCUCCUUUUAGCACUUGUGAGACUCUAUUUGGAGUUCUGUGCCCAGUUCUAAGGUACAAGGUGGCAACCACCUUGCUAGCACAAGUCCAGUGGAAGGCGCCAGUACGUGGCUGGAGUACAUGGUGAACAAGGAGAGACUGAAAGAGCUGGGUCUGUACAGCUGGAGAAAGAAAGGCAGAAGAGCAACCCUACUGCUAUCUACAGCUACCUUAUUGAUGUUAGGGUAAAGAAAAGAUGGAGCCAGGCUCUUCUCGAAGGUGCCACAGAAACAGAAUGAGGGCAAACAGACACAAGCUGGAAAAUGAAAAAUUCCAGUCAGAUGUAAGGAAAAGCGUUUUACCAAAGAGUGUUGAAACACUGCAACAAAUGUCCACAUUGACUAUGAUAUCUCCAUCCCUAGAAGUAUCCAAGAUUCAUCUGGGUAUAGACUUUAGCAACUUGAUCUCAUUAGACCUGCUUUGAGGAGGAUUAGGUAUUUCCAGAGGCCUUCCGAGCUCCAUUAUUCUAUGGUUAUUAGAUUCUGUGAUAAGUAGGACCAGUUUUUUUUCUACAUGACUCUCUCUGAAGUGAACUCAUAGCUUCAUUGAAAUCAAAUAACAAGAUUCUUAUUGACUUCGUGAUACUCUUUUGUGUGAUUUGGAGGGUUCUUUGAAAUCAAAUAAUACUUUUCAUGUUAGGAGAACUUCAGAGAAAAGCUUUUGUUUUUUUCUGAAAGUUUAUUUCACAACCAACAGAUUCCUUUAGCAUAUAUGGAUAAAGUUAUCUGUAUAGAAGAUAAAGAUUUUUUGCUCUAAAGGAGCAAAAAAAAAACCUGAUAUUUUUCUCUCAAAUUUGUACCUGUAUUCCUGUAAGCUCAAGUAUUUAAUUGACUGGCUUAAAAGUGGAGGGGAAAUUGGUGAUAGAAGAAGAGUGUCGUUCUCAUGAUCCCGAAAAUAGAAAGUAUUUCAAACCCUUGAAAUCUGUUGUCCAGCUUUGACAUUAACAAAGUAAAUCAUACAAAGAAAUAUUAUAUAAAAAGCCCAAAUCCUACUGUGAGCUUAAUUACAUUUACAUGUUUACAUUUUACAACUUCCUGUGACAAAGCGAAUAAAAUGCCGUAUGAACAGAUAGUGUAGUAUUGAAGCAAAUGUUCAUUUACUGUAUUUCUGAAGAGGGCAAAGAGUUAUUAAUGUUGCUUAGAUUGGCUUUUUUUAACUGCCACUUGUAAGUAGAGUGUAUAUAGCCUUUUUGUGCUAUGUUCAUAUGAUGAAAACAUCAAGGGCGUGUUUUCUCCUCUUACCCAACUCACUUAUUCUACUUUGUAAUUUUCCAUAUGCUGUUGACUACAAUAUUUUUAAUUGAGUGUGGUGCAUACAUGCCUGGAUAGUGAUAAAUCACACUGCAGACUAUGUGGCCCAUAAAAAUUUUAUGCAGCUAUGAGAAGAAGUUACUGUCAUUACAGGACCAUUUGGGGAACCAGAGUACUUGUUUCAGCAGUCUGGGUUUGAUCUUUUAAUGCUAUCAGUGUUUUGGAUGAGUGCAGAUGCAUACAUGAUGAAUUUAGAAUGUUCCGGGAAUACUAGAAAACGUCUAAAUACCUCCAGUGUUGAGGUUAAAUUCUCAGUUUGGAAAUUCUUCUACCCAAAUCUUCAUAGCAUACCUUUCCAUAAGAAGAGUCUGGAUCUAAGAAACAUCUAUCGCUAUGUUAAUUCUUAUGCACAAAGUUCCAAUGUUCACCAUUUGUUGUGAUUUCAUAGCAAUAUUAAUAAAGUAUUGUUGUUUCUUAUCCCCCAACUCUUCAGAACUUGUUUUCUUUGCAGCAUUUUCCUUGUAGUCAGGAGGGAAUUUCACAUGCUUUUAGAAAAUCUGACAAAAUACAAAAGUCAUUAGCUGGAACACAAAAAAACAAGUGGCCUAAGAGCUGUGAUUCUGAGAACAGGAAAUAUUGAUUUUGUGAUUCAGGAAGAUUUUAUUUAAUGGGGCAUUUAAACGUUUGUAUGUGAAUCUGUUCCAUGACAUACACUGCAGUUAGCAACAGCUUUUGUGUAUCAUGUCUAAUAUACCCAUACACUUCUGACAGUAUGUAUAUUCAUGAGAUUCAUAACAUUUUCCUGCAUUUGUGCUCAUAACAGAUUUCAUUUCAAAGCAGCACUUCAUUGAUGUAGAACACUGACGCAUUGUACAUAUAAUUGUUUCUCAUCUGUAUGAUUAUUUUGUGACACCUAGUGGAUAUAUUAAUAGUUGUGCCAGUUCAAAUUUCCUUGGGUCGUUUGGGUUGUCUGAAUAUACAUUCUGGCCUGCAAACUGAAUUCACAUCUUAAACACAUCAAAUCUUGGUCUUUCUUUCUUACUUUCUCUCUUUUUCCUUUUUUUUUUUUUUUUUUUUUUAAUUUUUAUUUGACUUUGAUCCUGGAAUGGUUUGGUCAUAAUCAGCUGAACAAAUACUCAGCACCCAAAAGUCCUUAGGAAAUCCCAUUAGUCCUAAAACAAUACAAGGUAGUAAAAAUUUGAAAAUGUCACGAUACUGUUAAGUCAGAGUCCCUACAUGUGCAGUGUGUGAUCUUCACCCAUCAGCUUUUUCUACUGCAUCAAUUUUUCUGUAUAGUAGAUCAAGUAUGAAGUUCCCUUUGGAGUUGAGCAUGCGUUACAUAAAAUUGUGAAAGGUUACAAAGAAGUACUCAGACUUUUCGCCCUAUGGGGGCUGUAACAAAUCCAAUUCCUUUACUGUUCAUAGAGAAUGAAAUGUGAUAAAUAAUUAAAAUAUUUUUCUAUAAACAUGAGAAUGUAUUUAGAAAAUUUAUAUCAAUAAAUGUAGUCUAGAAAUGCUUUAAACGCAUGACCCACUUUCGUGACUAAGAUAUAUCAUAUGAAGUAUAUCUUAAUUUACAUUCUGAGCCUGAAGCUUAUUUUGAAGUCAUUUGUCCUACAGGCAGAGUUGAAUUACUGUCUUGUGUAUAUACUGCAAAUGCUGGGAAAUAGGAAAGUCAGUAUUUUCAUAUGCCUGGUUUUUAUAUUCAUAAAGGGAGAGGAAGUAUGUUUUUUUGGACAGUGGCCUCAAGUCGGUUUGCUCUGUUGGUGAGUUGAUGCUGUUGGUGUGCACGUUUAUAACUUCAUAGAUGGUAUUCUUUACCCAGUAGGUCUUAAAUUCUAGCAUACCAGAGAAGAUGCAGGGCAAUAGCUCAUAUGAUAGCUAGGGUAUGAUUUUAGUAGUUCCUAACAAGGAUCUGAAAGGAGCUGUAAAGUGCAUUUAUUUAUAAAUAAGAGAUUGUGUAUUUUUUGUACUUGGGGAAUUUGAAUUGAGUUGUCCGGAAGACAUAAAUUAUCUUUGAAGACCAUCUUCAAAAUUUUAUGUUUUACCUUGUCUCUCUUCAGGGAGAAUUUCUUAUUUCCACUCCCAAAAGGCUUCAGAAUCAGAAAACGCAGUACUGAACUGUGUCUUUAAUACCAACUGAUAUGGCAUUCUUUUCCUGUACUCUUCAGAGUUGCUUAUCAUAACAUUUCUCUUGUGACUUUGGUUUAUGUAAAAUUAGAGCCUGUAGCAACAACAUCAUGAAUAAUGGACACAAAGUUUCUAACACAUCAUUGAACGCUGGCAAAGAUCUGCUUACUCUCUACCACCUGAAGCCAUGGUUCGAGUUCAUUAAUGAAUGUUUAACUAGUGAAAGCUUUAGUCUCAAGUAAAAAGACUUAGACUGGAGUAAAUCUAUUGAGAGCCUCAGUCACCUGAGAAAACAAAAGGUUGUGCGGAGGGAGCUGAAAGCAGGCAGUGCUGCGUGUCUGGCCACCCGAGCUCCUUGCCUGCAAUUCAUGAAGGGUGUUCAUUGUGCAAACGUGUGCCGUAUCAGUGUCACUGCCCCAGUCACCCCAAGGCACUCCAGAUGCCAUGCUCAGCUCCCUUGGCACGCAUGUCUACAGCAGCUGCCCCCCUUGCACUUGACAUCAGCUUGCUAUGUUUGAAGUAUCCCUGCAGGUCAUGAUGCUGAGGGCCAGCACAGUCUGGGAUGCCUGGUCUUGCGGACUCCACAGGAUUGCUGCCACAUACAAGUUAGGGUGCAACAGCCCUGGCAAUGAUCAGCAACUUUUGGUGGUUUCCCCCCUCUCUUUUUUAAGGCUUGUGUUAUGUGAACUUAUCUAGGUCUUGGACUGGGCUUUGUGUUGGAUGGCUAACGAGACCAGUAAUUUGGUUAACUUGCGCAGUGAGUGUAUGUAUAAGCCUUCUUUCCAUUGGCAGUAACGAUAACCAGUAACAGUAACGAAUCAGAGCAGAGACAAAAGAGUUGUGGCAAAACCACCUGUGUUUCUUUUUUGAAUCAUACCACAAUUUGAGACAAUGUUGGAGAAUAACAAAGCUGUUACUGUACAUAGAGGUCAUCUGCUGGUAGCCAAAGAAAAACACUAAUUGAAAGAUAAAAGGCAUCUUAAUCAUUAGCAGCAUUGUUACCAGUAAAUUCAUUGAGGUUGCCAGGAGUCGUAGAUGUGAGACGUAAGGCCCAGUUCAGGCUCCAAAAGGAAGGCUAAGGGAGGGGACAAAAGACAGAACAUGAGCCAGACACAGCUGUGUCAGAAGCUAUCACAUCUCCAGAAGUUGAGGCGUGCAUGCAGCCUUCAGCUGUGUGAGUGGGCAGGCUCAGCAGAGGCCUUUGCUUCCAUGUCCCUUAACAGGUGGAGUUCUCUCAUUGUCACCUGAUACGCCAUGGAAAGAUGAAGCCUCAUCGCUCUCUGUGCUUAGUAUCCCCUUCCAGUGUAUUUCGGCACUGAUGUCCCCACAGAAGUCUCCCAUGGGUGAAGGUGGUACGUUAAUGCAGCAUGCUUCACUGGUGGGAGCUUCUUGCUGCAGCCUCACAGUGUUAGUUUGGUCCCUUGUUGAAACAGUAGUAGUCCUUACACAGGCUGUGCUGGCUUUGAAUUUAGAACUAUUUAGGAUUCUAAACAAUGAUGUGGAUUGAUUGCAGUCCGGCACAGUCAGUGUAAAUACUUCUGCUUUUGCAAGUGAACUUUUUGUUCAGGUGUGUAGCCUCCAGAAAGAAAAAUACAAGUAACCAGAAAUAACCAGCCCAGUGCAGUUACGGUUUGCAAGGACUGCACAAGGAUUUUCUCUGUCUUAAUGUAUGUAGAUUUCCAGGCUUCUGCUUCUUCACCAUCAGGAUGAACCAAGCUUAGCAGCUCAAGCCAAAUACAGCCCGAACCUCGGAACGUUGUUCUGAGGUGGAAUUUAUUUUUUUAAAGUGCUUGGCAGCAUUACUCAAAAUAACUGUUUGUGUUAUGGCCAAGUAUAUAGCAAGGUGGGUUGGAAGAUACUGGUCCUGGUUGUUCCUGCAGUUGGACUUGCUAUUUCCACGGGGAUCUGAGAAAGGUGUGAUUUUUGAAGAGCUGGGCAUCACUUACAAGUAAAAGAUAGGGUGUGUAGUUUAGGUGUUAUAUUUUAUGUUCAAAGAUAUUAAGCAAAUCCGAGUGACUUAAGCUGAGGAGACAGUUCUUCCAAAAAAAAAGAAAAUCCAAUAAUCAACAACCUAUAAUAAAAAUACUGUGGGGGAAGGGAGUCAUUGGUAUUUCGUUUUUCUAUCAUCUGUGUGCAUAUAGUCUGAGAUAGUGCAUGGAGAUGAAUUACAAAUGUUUAGGAAAUGAUUGCUGUUAAGGGAGGAGUUAUAUACACAUUUUGUUCUUUGCUAUCUCUGACAAGAGAAAAUAACACUGACACAUUUUCUUAGCUCUUAACAAGAAACAAUCCCUAAUUUGUCACAGCUUCACCUCCUCUUCCUGCAGAGACUCAUCUCCCUGAUAUCCAGCCCUUGCUUUUUUACCUUCGUGCUUGGUGAAAUGUGAAGAGUACCUGUAACAUUUGUUUUUCGUAAGACAUAUCUCACUUACUCCUGGUGGAUUUGCCCUUCCUACACAGGUUUUGUCUCCCGUGGAUGCUGGCUUCACCCCAUUUUUCCCAUUGGGAUCUGCCAAACUUCAUUUCUGCCCUUGAGAGCUAGGAAGCACAGCCCAGGGUGAGAUGCUGCUGCUGCUCCCACAGCUGUCCAUGUCACGCCCGGCAGCCAUCUUAGGCUGGACAGAAAGCCCUGGCCAGCACAGCAAAUCAGCUGGUAAGUGAGCAGACAGAAGAAUUAUGCUAGGAAAACAUCAAGGGCAAAUAUUUAAGUUGUACAAACAAAUAGCUCCUAAUACACUAAACAGUUCUGCUUCCUUAUGGAGUUUAUUUAAAAUUAAAAAACCAAGUGUCUCCCUAAAUACUGAUUUGCUGAAGAAUACGAGUGCAACACACAAAGUAGCCAGUAGUUAGCCCUGGUUUAACUUCUCUUUUUAUGGAAGCUUUGGGAGAUGCUGAGUGUUUUUAUCAUUCUGGGUAGCUUUUUUUUUUUUUUUAGCAUUUGGAGUAUUACAUAAGCAGAACUCAGAAAUUAAUGUAGUAGAAGAAUAAAAUGUCUGUGUAAGUGCUACAGUUUGCAUAAACAGAAGGCAUGAUCCGACACUGAAGAAAAAUAAGGUGCUGCUUUGAUAGAAAAUGAUAUUUUUCCCACUACAGCCCUUUGGAAGCAUCUGUUUAACAUUCAAGACUUUUCACAUCAGUCAGGCUAAGAAAUGCCUGAUGUACAUGUGUGGAACGUGUCUGUGAAGGUACAGAACCCCUGUGUUGUACACACAGCCCCAGCUCCUUGUCUUUAAUUCUAGCCAGAUUCUUAUACACCAAUUCAGUAGAUUAAGGCAGCAGUUAUUAAGCAUGUUCCAUUUUUAUGUGGCAUUGUAAACCUUUUAUGAAAUGUUAUAUAAGCUUUCAUUUUUGUGGAGGAAUUUAACUGAAGCUAGCGUGAGUCCACAUAAGAGUAAGGAAGCCUUUAUACAGGUGUGCAGUUGUAAGGCUGCAGUGUGUCAGAUGUGAUUAUUUACACUGAUGUAUGUUUUUACAUGCUGUUGCCAUUUUUUUCCCCAUAUAUAGAAUGUUCAAGAUUUUAGGAACAUCCAUAAAUUAUUACAGAGCUUGGAGACACGUAUUCCACAGAGUUCUGGUGUAACUGCUACUUUCUGCCAAAUUUUUCUGAACAGUUUGAUAAAGCAAAUGGUUUCAGUGACUACGUGAAAUUAUUUAAUAGAUAGCACUAUGUUACAGUACCUAUAAUGUUCUGUGCAAUAAUAAGUUAAAAGGUCGGACAAAAUAAUGUGACUGGUUUUAAUAGGAUUAGGGCUCACUACAGUCAGUUGCUUCUAAGUUGUGUUCUAAUGUGAAAUUUAGACAAACAACUGAGUGCAGUAGACUUGGUGCCGUGAAUAUUUCCUAUUGUGCCCCUCUGAAGCUGCAGCAGAAUCUGUCCUAAUUUAUUUAAUUAUGGUAACGUUUUACAAUUUGUGAAAGAACUGUUGCUGCCAAUCUUAGAAGCAGCUGUGUUUCAGUAAUGGAUUAAGUCUCUAUAUACAUCAUAUUUCACAGGAGUUGCAAAACCUGUGUUUGUAAAAUAUUUUUCAUUUCUUGAAGGAUGUAACCAAUAUGAAUGCAGUGUGUUUAUUUUUGUUAUAUUUACUUAAAAAUACACCUGGAAAUAUUGUAUGUGAACUUUAUUAUAUGUAGGUCCCAGGAGAUGAUCCUUCUCUCCUCCAACUAGCUUCUGUCUGAAAUCUUCCAAGCAGUUACCUUACGUGGUAAUGCUCUGUCUGGCUUGACAGGGCGAUGCAGCAGCUUCAUUUUCUGCUCAGAGUCUGUUGGAUUCAGUCAGAAAGCUUCCCUUGGUCUCAGCAUCCGCUGUAGCAGAGCCUCCGCGAUUUACUUUGCAACCACUCUCACCAGCAAAAGUUUGUGACAUUUAUAAUAGUGAAUAAACAGCGGGGGCACAGUGGUGACUGGACACCACUUUGGAAGCCAGAAAAUAAUCAUUAUGUAGAAACAAGCUGGAAGCCACUGAUGUGACCUGCACGCAGCCCCUCAGCCUUGCAGGGUCCCUUGGGGUUUGCCUUGAGCCGCACAUUUCCCCACUGCGGUCAGUGUGCACUUGCUCACAUGUGCACCUAGGGCAUUUGCCUUCCUCCUGGGAGCACAGGUAGGUUUUGCAUUUGCAAAUCAUUCCCAGUUCUUGGGUGGAAGGUGCUCCAAAAAUCGCGGAGUGCUCGUUCUGUGUUGUCCCAGAGUUUGCUAAUUAUUAAGGCUUUUAAUUAUAUAACAAUUCAACUUUAAAACUGUCAUAGAAAUAGCAGAGUUGGCUCUGCACCUUUUUAAUAGCGACUGCUGAGGUAUUUAUUAACAUCUGUUCCAAUCCAUUUUUCACUGAACACUGAGGGUUAGAAUAUGGAAAUGUCAUAUUUUUCUUAGUAUUAAACAGUUGCUGAACUAGAAACAUAACUCUUGCCAGACAGUUAUUUUGUAUGCAUGUCUUCUUCAUAGAAAAUGAACAUGCACUUUUCUUUCAUUAAGUAUUUUAAAGUUCAUCCUUGUUUUGUGACCUAAUCAGUUGAAGUGAGUUUAUGAGCGGCUUGUGAGAGCAGAAGAAUAAUUAAUUUAAAGUGUUGAAUAAAGCACAUUCUUUUCCAUUUUUGUUUGCUAAUGAAUACUUUAAACUAUUCAUACCCACAAUAACAGAUCUUAUAUAAAACAGAACAACAGAAAGCUUAUAGCACUUUAUAAAUAACCAUCUCAACGUUCAUGAACUAAAUUGCUACUUUUUAUGUGGCAGAUUGUAUAUUAAGGCAAUAUUAUACCAGAACUUCACGUAUGGAAAUAGAUCUUUAACAUUAUCAAAAGCUUAGCUGUAUUUAGUAGAAAAUAAGUGAAUCCUUUUGAAAUGUUUCUUAAAAAUGCACCAUUUUACAUCAAAAGGGUGAACAUUUUUCCGUUCUCCCAACGAGAACUGCACCCGUGAGUGAAAGUAAAGCCGAGGUGUGCUACAGGUAGGCAGUGAUGUACAUCACUGCAACAUGCUUAGCUUUCCCAAAUUUCGCCACUGUUUGAAUCUGUAUUUUCACUUCUGCCAUUGGAGUCACUGGAGUCGCUUCAAGUUUAGGAUCUUCAUCUGACAUUUCCAGUGAUUUGGGUCUGCUGAGGAGCUUGGGCUUUUCACUGCUGUGAAUAUAUCAUUUUAAUGGCUUUGAACUGUUUUCACCGGACUAUCCAGCAUAAAGAGCAGCUACGCUGAAGGGUUACUUUUUUUCCUUCUUUCAUCCUAAAGGAAAUGCUUAUUCAGAAGUCUCACUUUGAAGUAAAACACACAAUACGCAGCUUUCCUCCAAUUAUGUUAUAUAAUGCUGAUUUCUAUUUAUAUAAGGAUAGGGUUUGUUUUAAAGCGGAAGCCCUUUCUGUGAGGUGACUGCACAGGCCACGGGUACUCACUCACCUGGCGGUACCAAGAUUCACCAGCUUCCACACUGAAUUUUAGCCAAGGCUCCAGUACAAAUUGUGAACUCCUAACACUCAGAUCUCUGACCACACACAUAAAGAUGUUUAGUUUUAAACAUUUUAUCUAAAAAACCAGGGACAGAAUAGUUCUGUGUUUGUUUGCUUGUUUGUUUGUUUGUUUUCCAGAGGAUUAUUCGGAAAGUAACUGGCUUUGCCAAAAAAGCUCACACUCAGAAAAUGCUGAUUUUUUUUUUAAACCCUUGAGUAUAUGGCGAAGACUGUGGAGCUUUCUGCUGCAGAACUUUCCAAAUGGCUUCCUUUGACAGUGGUUAGAAAGCAGCUUCUGCUACCAGUAGUUAUUAGUUAAAGAGGUUAUCUAGUUAAAGGGGUAAUCUAGUAGUUACUAGUUAAAGAGGAAAUCUCUUUUGCUACUCUUUUUGUAUAGUAUAGGAAGAAUGUCUACUUUGACCUUCAGUGCCAUUGGUGUUGCAAGUUGUGAAACCAGGGUUGUACAAUGUUUUCUCCAUUAUGGUCGUCUCAGAGGGGACAGUUGCACUGUUGCAGUUUGGUGUCACACGUAUGUCCCCUGUGCAGCUCGCAGCAAUCUGUAACCUCUUCCUACAGGUGGCCUCAGUCCAGUGUAGUUAGUUUGAAGCUAACAGUGUAACAUUGCUUGUUAUAGAUUAACACAUUGCUAUUUAAUUUGGUUAGUCAUUUGCAUUCUCCUUCCUUCUCUAGUUCCUUUAAAAGUGUGUUUUUCCCAGAAAGUGAAGAAGCAAAUACCUCAAUAAGUCAAUCUAAAAAAAAACCUAAAAAAACCCACAAUGUUUUCUGUUUUUCGCAGUUCUUUGUCUCUUGCCUGUCUUUUUUUCAGGUUAGGGGUACCCCCUGGGCUGAGGUGUGAUGGGAUAACAACAACGGAAAGAGAAAUCUGGUGCUGUGAAUGGCCCUCUGAGAAAAUGUACGGAGAAGCUUGUGUCUGCUUUUUCACUUGCUGUCACUCACCUUACAACUGUUUCAGUGUGCACUAAAAUGAAGUUGAAACAUGCGUGUUUUCUUUUUCGGCAUCCCCAUAGUGAUUAUGCUAUGAGCAGUGGAAGAUCCCAUCGGUUGCUCUGAAACGUGACCUACCUACUUUGAGGUGAGAUCUGUUUUGUUGUAAAGCAUGGCUUUAGUUUUUCUGUGUGUAUCAUGGAUUCUUGUCUUUAAUUUGCAGUUAACAACAACAAAAAAAAAGUUUUCCUUAGUGAAGAGAAGGCUCCGGGGAGACCUCAUAGUGUCCUUCCAAUACUUGAAGGGAGUACCCCUGUUUACAGGGGUAGAUAGUGAUAGGGCAAGGGGAAAUGGUCUUAAACUGAGACAGGGGAGGUUUAGGUUAGAUAUUAGGAGGAAGUGUUUCACACAGAGGGUGGUGAUGCACUGGAACAGGUUGUCCAAGGAGGCUGUGGAUUCCCCAUCCCUGGAAGCAUUCAAGCCUGGUCUGGUGGCUGGCGACCCUGCAUAUAGCAGGGGGGGUGAAACUAGAUGAUCUUUGAGGUCCUUUUCAACCUAGGCCAUUCUAUGAUUCAGUGAUUCUAAGUUAGCUUAUUAAGUUGGAGUAUUUGUUUGAAAUUUUAUUUGUUUAUAUUACAGGUAUGGACUGAUAUCAUAGUUUUUGUCACUUAUUUGGAUUUUCCCUGAGUGCGAUGUGUUGCAGUCCAUCAGACCAGGUGGUGGGGAGUGAGAGCACCCUCAACCUCUAGUGUUGGUGUGAGGUUACAGUACACUAGUGGCAAUUUUGCUAGUCAUAUUAACCAACGUCUGUGUAGUACAGUAGAGUACAUUUAGUUUAGCCAUUGAUUCAGUUGUGAGGUACUGUCCUUUAGAAGUAGCAUGUUGCUUAAGUAAGCCAUAACACUUUCUGACAGUCACCAAAUUCUUGGUUCAGUCUUAUAGAUUUACCCAUGCAGAACUUGGGAAAGUCAGUAAGAGCAACUGAGCUGUUCCGCACUAGGAUAAGAGAGGAAUACCUAGAAGGCAAUGCAGAACAAAUCCCUCUAAUUCAGCAUUUAUUCUCUAAGUCACUGUGAUGCCUUUCUUGAAGUGACAAAACUGGUUUGUUAAGAUGCAGUCGUGUCAGAGCUGGAAGUACAAAAGUGCAUUUAUUAAAAAUGAAUUCUGUAUCCUCUUCCCUCUUGUGUAUCUUGUCACUGACAUGACUCCACACAUUGCAAAUAUGUGAAACUUUUAAAACAUGAAACUAGAGCUCAUUAAGCAAAAUGUCAACUGGUGUAUAGCAAACUCUUUCAGAAUGAAGACUGAUAAUAUUUGUCUCCAGAGUUUUUUGUCUUCUAGGUCAUCACCAAGCCAUCCAGCUUUCUGGGAAUAUAGUUUGUGGUUUCUGUGAUCGGAGUCUGACUGUCCUUUGGGGUGAGGUAGUAGGUUGUAUAGUUUUAGGGUUAUGCCCUGCCUGUCAGAUAACUAUACAAUCUACUGUCUUUCCUGAAGUGGCUGUGAUAUCAUCGCUGGAUAUGCCUUCAAAAUGCAAAGCAAAUAUAUUUCAACUGUAACAUUCUCUGGCUCUGUCUUACGUGUUGGUUUUGAUUCUUACAAAAGAAAUGUUCUCAGAGUGUUUCAAUUCCUCUAUCGUUUGGAUUGGAAAGCGAUUUCCUUUUUUUCAUCUUCUCCGAGAAAGCGGGGUGUGAGAGGGCCCAGAGGUACAACCUAUGCUUAUGCUCAACUUUCUCCAUCUGCCAGUGUGCUCUCAAGAGUGGCCAUUUGGAAAAAGCUCACACCUUUUCAAUUUCAAGUGGAUUUUGGCUGUCUCUGACAGCUCUAACCAAUGGCUGGGGAGGAAUCUGCAGUCAGCUGUGCUGAGAGGCUUUGCCAUUAACAGGUUAACCAUAUCCUGCAUUUUCUGUACUUUUGAUGCUGAAGGAAAAUAAUUUAUGAUAGGCUUUCAUAGAGAAGUGGAGCAAAAGCUGUGCCUGACUUCCUCAAUAUGAUGGUGUGACAAGAAAACUAAUGCUGAAAGACAUCCAGCAGUCCAAAUGUGCACCUGCUCCUGCUAGCUUCCAGAGCAAAUGCUGUCUCCAAUUCUCUGAUAUAUUGCACUGCAAGCUCUUCCUAAAGCACAGGAAGUCAGACCAGAUCAGGCCUUGGAUGCUCCUUGGAAAUUUCACUGGCCGAUCGUCCACAUCUGAAGUACCUUAUCUUUGGAGAUCUGGACUCUAAUGGGGCAUAAGACAGGAAUCAGAACUGAUGGCCAACAAGAAACUGUUCUACCACGUGCAAUGCCUCAAUGUGUUGCCCUAGAAAGCUGAGGCUCAGGUCUUCUCCUGAGAUACAUGGUAUCCUCCAGAAUGGUAUUGAAGGAAUGGUGAGUGAUGUAAUAUUUGAGGAAGGGGAGAUGUGUGUCCUUCUGGAAUCCUCUUGUUCUCCACCUCUGUGUUUUCCAACCAAUUACUUAAUUCCUCAUACUGUGUCCUCACAGUAUGUGCUACAAAUGGUGACAUCAAAACCAAUAUAUUUUGCAAAUGCUAACAUUGCAGCAGGCUUUGCAGAAUAAUGGCUAUAUCAAUCCUUACUUAUAGUGUACUUUGAAUAUAGUGUCAUUAGUAACAGAACAUCUGUCAAAACCUCUCACAGUCUGAACAUGCUACCUCCUAUUUUUUUCAAUAUUAUGAUUGUAUUUCAUCAGUAGAUCCUAUGUAUUUGCUAAGUGGAGUUUCACUCAGUUCAGUCUUUGAUUGUUCAUGACGUGGAGAAGGUGAACAGGGAACAACUGUGUCUUGCCUCAUGUAGCAAGAGACCUAGGGAAUGGCAGGUUCAAAAUGCUCAAAAAGAGAUUUUUCUUCACAAGCUCUUAUGAUUAAGUAGUGGAGAUACUCCUUUCUGUUGAGUACACCAUGGUCCUCCCUGGCAAGGUCAACAGCAGCAGCUUAAAGAGCAGUGUGAGAGAGAGAUGUAUGUAAAUGGCUGCAGCAGGUGUAGCACUCCUGUCUCAGCUCAGGAUGGCUCCUCCAAGGGUUAGAGGCUAAUUUUGAGAAGAGGCUUUUUCAUUUUAAUUUGAAAGUUGUGAAAGGCUUUUGCAUGGUAGGAGCUCUAUCUCAAAAGAGCUUCUUCAGGAAACUCUACGGCACUUGUGUUUGUUUAGGUGCUUUUCCUUUUGAUAUGGUUGUUUUGCAGUAGUGACUUGGCUGGAAAAGAGGGUUUUUGGAGGUGAAUGUGGUGAGGAUAAAUCUCAAAGCUACCGCAAUUUGGGAGGCAUCCCUACUUUGUUUAGGAAAUAGACUUGCAACUAAAGGCCAUCUCGAGUUGACAGCAGACUUUGCGAGGGGUGAAAGUCCCUUGUACAGUGUGCUUCUGUACCUGUAAAAAAUCGGGUGCUUGAUUUACACAAGAGUCAUGAAGAUGUUCCUCUGGUUCUGUACUUUCCAUCAGGAGCCUCUUGUCCUUGCACUUGUUUUGUGCAGUCUAUUACAACAAUUCCAGUGGGACACAUAAUUCAGAUUCUGUAAUAGAAUGAAUGCACAGAGUCAUUGCUUAAACUGUACUGCAGCAGCACUUCUUGCUGCUGCUAUGUACAUUUAAUAACAAAAGGUCAAAAUACUGCAUCAACAUAGAAAGAGUCAUUUGAUCUCUUUAUCUGUAGAACAGGGAUAAUAUUCUUUGCUUAUGUUCCAAGACUUGCUGCAAAUUUGAGGACAGAAAAACUGAAGAUUUUCUUUAGUAUUGCUAAGAUAGAUUGUGAUGACUGUCAGAUACUGGUUAAACUGGAGGGGCUGAGCUUUUUAUUCCUGCUUUUGCUGUAUACCUGACAGUUGGAGGUGAAUGCAGCCUUUUGUUUCCUACACAACAAAAGGUUCAAAUAUAAACCAUGCUACUGAUAAAAUAAGAACAGAAAUUGCGGGUCAGUUCUAAACUUGGAAAAUGCUCGGGGUUUUUUUUGUUUUUGUGCUGGUAAAUCUACAUUCUCAUCAUGUGGAAAAAAACCAGACUCUUAAUACAGCUUUAGUUUUCUACUUUAUAGCUACAAGCAGAAAACAGCCAUGAAUCAAUAACGGGGGCCUGUAAACACUCUUCUGGCUCUAUAGCCUACUUAAUGUCAACCAAGAGCUGCAGUAAACCACAAUUCCCCAGCUGCAAUAAAUGCUACAGGCUCCAGAGCAGAGCACAAAGUUUAAUUAAAAGUAAUCUGAUACAUAUAAAUCCGCUGACGCAAUCUCUCACUCUUGCAUCUGAAAUAUAUAUAAGGCUCUUCCUGGAGACAUUGGAUGAUUUAGACUUCAAUUUCACUUAAGAAGCCUCUCACAUAAUACUAUCCAGUGAGUCUCUGUGCACACAGCAUAAAGACAUCCUGUUAACUAAAUGCAUUGAUCUCCCUUUGCUUUACAUGCCGAGUGUAUCAGCUGUUGAGUUAUUUGGCUAAUUUAAGAGACUUGGCAACAUUUUCCCGUGCUCUAAAUAGCCAGACAUCUCUGAACUUUCAGGAGUAACUACACUUGGCAAUUAAUGGAUAAUGACAACACUGCUGUAAUGUAUUAUCUUUUGGCAAUAAGUAAGCUCAGCAGUUUUGAGGAUGUCUCACUAAUGCUUUAGCAUCAGACAGACUCUGCUCAUGUUAGCUGUGUUUGACAAGAUGUUCUGUUGAUGUUUAAUGAUACACAGCCCCUUGCUGAUUUGCGUCCUGAGUCUGUCCUGGCUCUGCACACAUCGUCCUUCUCUCCUCCCCGUGCACCGUGGCUGCCUUAUGGAAUCACAGUAAAGUCUGGGUCAGACAUCCUCUCUGGAGAUCACCCGGUCCAAACCACAGAAACAGAGACUUAGGUUAGGUCAUCCUGGAUACUGUCCAGCAAAGUCUAGGAUAUUUCCAGUGAGAAAAGUGCACACCUUUGUUAUCUGAGGAUGCAAAAGAGUCCCGUUCGCGCCUCAUGCUAUAGUCCUGGCACUGAUGGUGUCUCUGGACUAACAGUAUAUUCAUGCUAAUUUUUCUGAAACUAGAAAAGGCAGAGGAUGACAACUGCUAUGGGACCUGGGAACAACACUUAAGGCUUAGAUGGCUUUCCUUUCUCAGCACUUUUUCCUCAGAAAAUAAAAGCAUCUAAAAAUAAAUAUUUGUUUUUAAAAUAAAUAAAUAUAUAUAUCUAAAGACACUAAUGAGUCCUGUCAUAAAGUGUAUUAAAGCAGUAUUCUAAAGGCAAAACAGCUUCUCACACAAAAUGACAUACACGUUUCUAAUUAGCUCCCAGAAAAUUAGGGUUCACUCAUGCGAGGGACCAAAUAACAUUACUUUGUAACUCCGAACAAAUAUUAAUCUCUUCCUCUCAUUUUUGUCCGUAGUGCUUUUUGUGGAUUUGUAUCCAUACAGAGUUUUCGCUGGUAUGCCAUCCGUUCGUGCAUUUCUAAACAAAAGCGAGACAUGGAGUCUUCAUGGCCAAAACUUUUCUUGCAUUCUUGCAUCUGUGGCCAAAAUGUAGCUAACUGGAUCCGUAGAGAUAGAUCUUGUAUUCAUGAUUGUUGUGAGAAACCUCCCAGAGCUUAUUGAAUUAGGGAUAUCCCAGUCAGCUAUUGUUAGACUUUAAGAGACGUUUUGCAGUUAGAGGAGGCUUUAAAUAAUAAUAAUAAUAAAAACAGAGUUUCUUUUUAUUAACUGAAGCUCUGUUUACAUCAGUAAGGAUACACAAAUCAAAGCAACAAAAUGUAUGGCCUGCAGUUAAAGGAUUUAGCUUCAAGAAAAGAAAAUGAAACAAACCAGAACAACAACAACAAACAUUGAACAGCAAUUAUUUAUCAAGAUAUAGGCCUUAAACCAAAUUUUGCUUUUUUCAUUGCAUUCAUGGCAGUUGUCUUGUUAUGAGUAGAGUGACGUGGAAGGUAAAGCCAAGGGAAAUGGGUUCAAACUGCAUCAUAAAGAAGUUCAAAUAUUCAAGGAACAGUAAUAUGUUUAAAACACACACACACAAAAGAGAAAGAAACCUGGGGGGAAAAAUUUCUACUUGCUUCUUCUUACAUUUUUUGCUUUUUGGAUUGAUCGAUAGAGUAAAUGUGGUAAAGGCACAGUGAUCUUUUACACAUUUAUUUCAAGUCUGUUGUUGUAACUAACUAGGAGUUCCUGAAGAGCAGAAUGAAGCCUGGAUAUACACUAAUGGAUUGCUAUUUGUAAUUCAUACCCUGAAAUGUAUCCAGCCUGGUGCUAAAACCAAACAUUUAGUAGGCUAAAAGUAAUACAAGCCAAGGUACAUUUGACAGCCAAUAAGAUGACGUUUGUCCAUUUUCUCCUAAAGGAGAGGAAAAUUGUGAACAUGGAAAAUAGAAGCAGGAGGAAGGAAGGACGUAGAGAGUGACUCAACAGGUCAUGAAAAUGUGAGGUUGCAUAUAUGCAACAUGAUCAAGUUGGAAAAAUAAUCUGUUGAGCCAGAAGGACAGCAAGAUGAACUAGUAGUGGAAGAAGUCUGCUAAGUCAGGAGGUAGAAAUCUGAUGCUGGAGGGAGUCUGAAGAUGAGUCUGAUCAAUCCAGUCUGAGUUUCUCAAAAUGUAAAUUAUUCCUGGCCAACAGGACACACUGAGGUGUCCCUGCUCCCUGCCUAUAACAGGGGGUUGGCAGUAGGUCAUCUUAAAAGUCCCUUCCAACCCAAACCAUUCUAUGAUUCUAUGAUUCUGUGAACUGUAUGUACUGGCUUAAAAUAAUUCCACGUGAAACAGCCUCAAGACUGAAAAUUUGCCUAGAGCAGCAUUUGAACUCUCAAAUGUGUGAGGUUCAGCAAGCCAAGUGAGAGCCAGAAGGAUCUCCUGCAGUUCAAUAUUCAACAGAUGUUAAAGCUUUUGUGUUCCCCAUGUGCAAGGAGUCAUGGAAAAAAGAGUCAAGGGAGAAGAAAUUUUAGAAGCAUCGUUCCUGACUUGCAGGUGUAAAUGUCCACUGAACAUUGAAGUAAAUAGGGAAGAAAUGGCAAAGAGAGGAAUAAGAAAGAAACAUGGAAGCUGAAAAUGACAGCGUUUCAGUACUGUUAAAGCUGUCAGUAUGUAUAUGAAGAUGAUGAAGAAAUGUAAUACUGGUUUAAUAUAACACAUCAUAUUGAAAUAAAGAGAAUCCGAAGAGAGGCUGGCAGAAGGUCUGACAGGGUCAUCAGAGAGCUCUGAGGCAUGACAUGGGCAGAGACAUCAAAAACAUAAACUGGGGGCUUCACCUUCCAAACUCUGGGAAAUCGUGUUUGUUUGCUAGUCUUAGAGCUGAGAUUCUGGGAUGUACACGCAAGGCUCCCUAGCAAAGACAGAAAGUGAGACACCUGAAAUUCUCUGAAAUUUUAAUGAAGCAAAUCAGUAGGAGUAACAGAAAUGAGAAAGAAAAGCACUGAUGCUCUAGUGCUCAUGACUUACAAACCCCCAAAAUGAACAUCUCAACGUCUUCCUUCCUUGCUUCAUAUAAAUUUUACGUAUUUUCCAAGUACAACAGUGCCUUCCUACAGAAUUUCUCAACUCUACUGCAAGUGUUACUGACGAAACAUAAAGCUGCUCUUUGAAAGAAGAAUUACUUUCCCUUUUGGCACUUUUGAAUAACUUCUCUUUCAACUUGGUGUUCUUUCCCCCCCAAGAUCUGGGUUACAGAGCUGCUUACUUCAGUCCUCGGCGGAGGCCUAUUUGUAUUGGCUUUGAUGUAAGCGGUAAGCUUCUUGGUUUAAUUUUAAUGUUCCAAGGGAAGAGUUUAUUCACAAAUGUAUUACACAGCAUGAAAUCUUCAUGGAAGAACAAUGCGUAGUGGAUUUGGUUGGGAAAAUUAUUACAAAAGCGAUGUUCUCUUAGUAUAAAAAAAACGAUGUGUUUUCAUGAAGAACAAAGAGAGUGGGCAAGAUGGAAAAGACAGGCUUUGGCUGCAAAACAACGUGCAGUGUGUGCCCAGUAGGUGAAGUACACAUGCAGGCUAGAAUGAGAGCUGCUGCAGAAAAGAAAUCCUGAUUUCCAAGCAACAAGUUCAGAAUGCAGCCUGCUGAGCUUGCUGCUUUGCUGUUGUGUUCUUUAGCAGUGCCCUGUGCAAGAUUCUGUAUACCUUGUGAGCGUCGCAGUUGACUUUUAUUAUGCCUUUUAACCCUCUGUGGUCAUUUGCGCAGCACCGGCAGCACAGGUCGUAUUUAAGAGCAGCGAGACAGUGCUGUGCUCGAGGCUGGGCAGCUCCCAGGAGUGUCGCUGUGACUGUAAGCCCUGCUCCACUGUCAGCCACCCUUUCUUCACAUAGGAAUUCUUGCCAGCAGUGAAAGUGCCGAAUAUACAGGGGGAAGAAGAGGGGA
ensembl:lncRNA